rnacentral:lncRNA from 1 species
GGGUCAAGGUACUCUCGUCCAAGGCCAGGGCAUCAUCCAACCUCAACAACCAGCUCAAUUGGAGGCGAUCAGGUCAUUGGUGUUGCAAACUCUUCCAACCAUCUGCAAUGUGUAUGUCCCACCUGAGUGCUCCAACAUCAGGGCACCAUUUGCCAGCAUAGUCGCGGGGAUUGGUGGCCAAUGAAAAAAGCAAGAGCUAUACUAAUAGAUAGAUGGAUCCUCGUUGCUUAGCAGAUGCACCAAUCGAUGUAACGAUGACAAAUAAAGUGGCACGUACCAUCAUGUGUGACCCCGACCAGUGCUAGUUCAAGCUUGGGAAUAAAAGACAAACAAAGUUCUUGUUUGCCAGCAUUGAUUGUCAUUGUUCCAUUCACUGUGUAUUUAGUUGUUCAUCCCUAACCGCAGUUCUAGGCUUACACAUCAAUGGCUAUUUGCUCGUGCCGGCAGGUUCCUAUGUAAUCUACCGACUAAUGGUCGGCCUAUUGACCCAGUUUAUAGGCCGAUUGAUAUAUUAAUUGCUGCUCCCAAACUGACCGACCAGCUAUUAGUUACCAUUUUGCUGAACAUUGCACACAAUAAUAACUCAACAUAUUUUAAUGUCUAGAAGUAAAAGGGCCAUUUUAGCAGCAAAACAAGCGCCUGAUUAGGAACCAUCCAGCACUUUAAAUGUUCACCUAGAUAUUUCUACGUUGAUGCAAUUUUGAGAUUGGUGGCACCGAAACAUUCCUCAAAGCAAUUCUUUAUGGGACUCCAAAGAGGUGAAAAUAAAGUAAAGUUGCCACAUGGUAAAAUAUAAAUCAUGCGGCGAGCAAGAGCAAAUAUUGAGUCAUGAUAGCAAGCGCCAAACAUGCCAUUAAACUCUUCAUAUGGUUCCGUGCAGAGAAGGGGGAAAAUUGUUGGGGAACGUAGUCAUUUCAAAAAAAAUCCUACGCACACGCAAGAUCAUGGUGAUGCAUAGCAAUGAGAGGGGAGAGCAUCGUCCACCUACCCUCGUAGACCGUAAGCGGAAGCGUUAUGACAACGCGGUUGAUGUAGUCGUACAUCUAUAUGAUCGACCGAUCCUAGUACCGAACGUACGGCACCUCCGCAAUCUGCACACGUUCAGCUCGGUGACGUCCCAUGAACUCACGAUCGAGUAGAUCUUCAAGGGAGAGUUCCGUCAGCACGACGGCGUGAUGACGGUGUUGAUGAAGCUACCGACGCAGGGCUUCGCUUAUGCACUACUAUGAUAUGACCGAGGUGGAUUAUGGUGGAGGGGGCACCGCACACGGCUAAAGAUCAAUGAUCAACUUGUGUGUCUUGGGGUGCCCCCUGCCCCCGUAUAUAAAGGAGAAAGGGGGGAGGCGGCCGGCCAAGGAGGAGGGCGCGCCAAGGGGGGAGUCCUACUUAGGACUCCUCUUUCCUAUUAGGAGUAGGAGAAGGGGGAAAGGAAGGAGAGGAGGAGAAGGAAGGACGGGGCACCGCCCCUUCCCCUAGUCCAAUUCAGACUAGGCUUGGGGGGGGGGGCGGCCCAGCCCUAGCCAGCCCCUCUCUCUCCCUCUCUCUCCCUGAAGCCCAUUAACGCCCAUAAGAUCCCCGGGGGGUUCCGGUAACCUCUCGGUACUGUGGUAUUUAUCCGGUGUCCGAAUAUAACCUUCCAAUAUAUCAAUCUUUAUGUCUCGACCAUUUUAAGACUCCUCGUCAUGUCCGUGAUCAUAUCUGGGACUCCGAACUACCUUCGGUACAUCAAAACACAUAAACUCAUAAUACCGAUCGUCACCGAACGUUAAGCGUGCGGACCCUAUGGGUCCGAGAACUAUGUAGACAUGACCGAGACACGUCUCCGGGUUUAACCAAUAGCGGAACCUGGAUGCUCAUAUUGGCUCCUACAUAUGUUGGGGAACGUUGCAUAAAAUAAACUUUUUCCUAUGUUCACCAAGAUCAAUCUAUGAGUUCAUCUAGCAACGAGAGAGGGGAGUGCAUCUACAUACCCUUGUAGAUCACGAGCGGAAGCGUUCAAGAGAACGGGGUUGAGGGAGUCGUACUCGUCGUGAUCCAAAUCACCGGAGAUCCUAGCGCCGAACGAAUGGCACCUCCGCGUUCAACACACGUACGGUUAGCGUGACGUCUCCUCCUUCUUGAUCCAGCAAGGGGGAAGGAGAGGUUGAUGAAGAUCCAGCAGCACGACGACGCGGUGGAGGAUGCAGCAGAGUUCCGGCAGGGCUUCGCCAAGCGACUACGGGAGGAGGAGGUGUAGCAAGGGGGGAGGGAGGCGCCAAGACUUCAGGGUGCAGCUGCCCUCCCCUCCCCCUCCUUUAUAUAGGCCCCCUGGAGGGUGGCGCCGGCCCUGGAGAUGGGAUCUCCCAAGGGGGCGGCGGCUAGGGGGGUGGAGUGCCCCCCAAGGCAAGUGGAGGCGCCCCCCCCCCCCACCCUAGGGUUUCCAACCCUAGGCGCAGGGGGGCCCAAGGGGGUCGCACCAGCCCACCAGGGGCUGGUCCCCUCCCCACUUCAGCCCACGGGGCCCUCCGGGAUAGGUGGCCCCACCCGGUGGACCCCCGGGACCCUUCCGGUGGUCCCGGUACAAUACCGGUGACCCCCGAAACUCUCCCGAUCACCGAAACUGCACUUCCUAUAUAUAAUUCUUUAUCUUCGGACCAUUCCGGAACUCCUCGUGACGUCCGGGAUCUCAUCCGGGACUCCGAACAACUUUCGGUUUGCUGCAUACUCAUAUCUCUACAACCCUAGUGUCACCGAACCUUAAGUGUGUAGACCCUACGGGUUCGGGAGACACAUAGACAUGACCUAGAUGGCUCUCCGGUCAAUAACCAACAGCGGGAUCUGGAUACCCAUGUUGGCUCCCACAUGCUCCUCGAUGAUCUCAUCGGAUGAACCAUGAUGUUGAGGAUUCAAGCAACCCCGUAUUCAAUUCCCUUUGUCAAUCGGUAUUUUACUUGCCUGAGAUUCGAUCAUCGGUAUCCCAAUACCUCGUUCAAUCUCGUUACCGGCAAGUCACUUUACUCGUACCGUAAUGCAUGAUCCUGUGACCAGACACUUGGUCACUUUGAGCUCAUUAUGAUGAUGCACUACCGAGUGGGCCCAGAGAUACCUCUCCGUCAUACGGAGUGACAAAUCCCAGUCUCGAUCCGUGUCAACCCAACAGACACUUUCAGAGAUACCUGUAGUGCACCUUUAUAGUCACCCAGUUACGUUGUGACGUUUGGUACACCCAAAGCACUCCUACGGUAUCCGGGAGUUACACGAUCUCAUGGUCUAAGGAGAAGAUACUUGACAUUGGAAAAGCUCUAGCAAACGAACUACACGAUCUUGUGCUAUGCUUAUGAUUGGGUCUUGUCCAUCACAUCAUUCUCCUAAUGAUGUGAUCCCGUUAUCAAUGACAUCUAAUGUCCAUAGUCAGGAAACCAUGACUAUCUAUUGAUCAACGAGCUAGUCAACUAGAUGCUCACUAGGGACAUAUUAUGGUCUAUGUAUUCACACGUGUAUUACGAUUUCCGGAUAAUACAAUUAUAGCAUGAAUAAAGACAAUUAUCAUGAACAAGGAAAUAUAAUAAUGAUCCUUUUAUUAUUGCCUCUAGGGCAUAUUUCCAAAAGUCUCCCACUUGCACUAGAGUCAAUAAUCUACUUACAUUGUGAUGAAUCGAACACCCAUAGAGUUCUGGUGUUCAUCAUGUUUUGCUUGCGGAAGAGGUUUAGUCAACGGAUCUGCGACAUUCAGAUCCAUAUGUACUUUGCAAAUAUCUAUGUCUCCAUCUUGAACAGUUUCACGGAUGGAGUUGAAACGAUGCUUGACGUGCCUGGUCUUCUUGUGAAACCUGGGCUCCUUGGCAAGGGCAAUAGCUCCAGUGUUGUCACAGAAGAGAGUGAUUGGCCCCGACGCAUUGGGUAUGACUCCUAGGUCGGUGAUGAACUCCUUCAUCCAUAUUGAUUCAUGCGCUGCCUCCGAGGCUGCCAUGUACUCCGCUUCACAUGUAGAUCCCGCCACGACGCUCUGCUUGCAACUGCACCAGCUUACUGCUCCACGAUUCACCAUAUACACGUAUCCGGUUUGUGACUUAGAGUCAUCCACAUCUGUGUCGAAGCUAGCAUCGACGUAACCCUUUAUGACGAGCUCUUCGUCACCUCCAUAAACAAGAAACAUGUCCUUUAUCCUUUUCAGGUACUUCAGGAUAUUCUUGACCGCUAUCCAGUGUUCCUUGCCGGGAUUACUUUGGUACCUUCCUACCAAACUUACGGCAAGGUUUACAUCAGGUCUGGUGCACAGCAUGGCAUACAUAAUAGAUCCUAUGGCUGAGGCAUAGGGGAUGACACUCAUCUCUUCUUUAUCUUCUGCCGUGGUCGGGCAUUGAGCCGAGCUCAACUUCACACCUUGCAAUACAGGCAAGAACCCUUUCUUGGACUGAUCCAUUUUGAACUUCUUCAAUAUCUUAUCAAGGUAUGUGCUUUGUGAAAGACCUAUGAGGCGUCUCGAUCUACCCCUAUAGAUCUUGAUGCCUAAUAUGUAAGCAGCUUCUCCAAGGUCCUUCUUUGAAAAACACUUAUUCAAGUAGGCCUUAAUGCUGUCCAAAAGUUCUAUAUCAUUUCCCAUCAAAAGUAUGUCAUCUACAUAUAAUAUGAGAAAUGCUACAAAGCUCCCACUCACUUCCUUGUAAACGCAGGCUUCUCCAUAAGUCUGCAUAAACCCAAACGCUUUGAUCAUCUCAUCAAAGCGAAUGUUCCAACUCCGAGAUGCUUGCACCAGCCCAUAAAUGGAUCGCUGGAGCUUUCAUACCUUGUUAGCAUUCUUAGGAUCGACAAAACCCUCCGGCUGCAUCAUAUACAGUUCUUCCUUAAGAUGUCCGUUAAGGAAUGCCGUUUUGACGUCCAUCUUCCAUAUCUCAUAAUCAUAGUAUGCGGCAAUUGCUAACAUGAUUCGGACGGACUUCAGCUUCGCUACGGGAGAGAAAGUCUCAUCAUAGUCAACCCCUUGAACUUGUCGAUAACCCUUAGCGACAAGUCAAGCUUUAUAGAUGGUAACAUUACCAUCCGCGUCUGUCUUCUUCUUAAAGAUCCAUUUGUUUUCUAUCGCUCACCGAUCAUCGGGCAAGUCUGUCAAAGUCCAUACUUUGUUUUCAUCCAUGGAUUCUAUCUCCGAUUGCAUGGCUUCAAGCCAUUUGUUGGAAUCUGGGCCUGCCAUCGCUUCUUCAUAGUUCGAAGGUUCACCGUUGUCUAACAACAUGAUUUCCAGGACAGGGUUGCCAUACCACUUUGGUGUGGAACAUGUCCUUGUGGACCUAUGAAGUUCAGUAGCAACUUGAUCCGAAGUACUUUGAUCAUCAUCAUUAAUUUCCUCUCCAGUCGGUGUAGGCACCACAGCAACAUUUUCCUGAGCUGCACUACUUUCCGGUUCAAGAGGUAGUACUUCAUCGAGUUCUACUUUCCUCCCACUUACUCCUUUCGAGAGAAACUCUUUUUCCAGAAAGGAUCCGUUCUUGGCAACAAAGAUCUUGCCCUCGGAUCUUAAGUAGAAGGUAUACCCAAUGGUUUCCUUAGGGUAUCCUAUGAAGACGCAUUUUUCCGACUUGGGUUCGAGCUUUUCAGGUUGAAGUUUCUUGACAUAAGCAUCGCAUCCCCAAACUUUUAGAAACGACAGCUUAGGUUUCUUCCCAAACCAUAAUUCAUACGGUGUCGUCUCAACGGAUUAAGACGGAGCCCUGUUUAAAGUGAAUGUAGCUGUCUCUAGAGCGUAUCCCCAAAAUGAUAACAGUAAAUCGGUAAGAGACAUCAUAGAUCGCACCAUAUCCAAUAGAGUGCGAUUACGAUGUUCGGACACACCGUUACGCUGAGGUGUUCCAGGCGGCGUGAGUUGUGGAAUGAUUCCACAUUUCCUUAAGUGCGUACCAAAUUCGUGACUUAAAUAUUCUCCUCCACGAUCUGAUCGUAGGAACUUUAUCUUUCGGUCACGUUGAUUCUCUACCUCAUUCUGAAAUUCCUUAAACUUUUCAAAGGUCUCAGACUUGUGUUUCAUCAAGUAGACAUACCCAUAUCUACUCAAGUCAUCAGUGAGAGUGAAAACAUAAUGAUAUCCUCCGCGAGCCUCAACGCUCAUUGGACCACACACAUCAGUAUGUAUGAUUUCCAAUAAGUUGGUUGCUCGCUCCAUUGUUCUGGAGAACAGAGUCUUGGUCAUUUUGCCCAUGAGGCAUGGUUCGCAUGUGUCAAAUGAUUCAUAAUCGAGAGACUCUAAAAGUCCAUCAUCAUGGAGCUUCUUCAUGCGCUUGACACCAAUGUGACCAAGGUGGCAGUGCCACACGUAUGUGGGACUAUCGUUACCAACUUUACAUCUUUUGGUAUUCACACUAUGAAUAUGUGUAACAUUACGUUCGAGAUUCAUUAAGAAUAAACCAUUGACCAUCGGGGCAUGACCAUAAAAUAUAUCUCUCAUAUAAAUAGAACAACCAUUAUUCUCGGAUUUAAAUGAGUAGCCAUCUCGUAUUAAACGAGAUCCAGAUACAAUGUUCAUGCUCAAACUUGGCACUAAAUAACAAUUAUUGAGGUUUAAAACUAAUCACGUGGGUAAAUGUAGAGGCAGCGUGCCGACGGCGAUCACAUCGACCUUGGAACCAUUCCCGACGCGCAUCGUCACCUCGUCCUUCGCCAGUCUCCGCUUAUUCCACAGCUCCUACUAUGAGUUACAAAUAUGAGCAAUGGCACCGGUAUCAAAUACCCAGGAGUUACUAUGAGUACUGGUAAGGUACACAUCAAUUACAUGUAUAUCACAUAUACCUUUAGUGUUUUCGGCCUUCUUGUCCGCUAAGUAUUUGGGGCAGUUCCGCUUCCAGUGACCCUUCCCUUUGCAAUAAAAGCACUCAGUCUCAGGCUUGGGUCCAUUCUUUGACUUCUUCCCGGCAACUGGCCUACCGGGUGCGGCAACAUCCUUGUCGUCCUUCUUGAAGUUCUUCUUACCCUUCCCUUCUUGAACUUGGUGGUUUUAUUGACCAUCAACACUUGAUGUUCUUUCUUGAUUUCUACUUCUGUUGACUUUAGCAUUGAAAAUACUUCAGGAAUAGUUUUCACCAUCCCCUGCAUAUUGUAGUUCAUCACAAAGCUCUUGUAGCUUGGUGGGAGCGACUGAAGGAUUCUGUCAGUGACCGCCUUGUCCGGGAGGUUGAUGUCCAGCUGGGACAGGCAGUUGUGCAACCCAGACAUUUUGAGUAUGUGCUCACUGACAGAACUAUUUUCCUCCAUCUUACAACUAUAGAACAUGUCGGAGACUUCAUAUCUUUCGACCCGGGCAUGAGCUUGGAAAACCAGUUUCAGCUCCUUGAACAUCUCAUAUGCUCCGUGUUGGUCAAAAUGCUUUUGGAUCCUCGGUUCUAAGCUGUAAAGCAUGCCGCACUGAACGAGGGAGUAAUCAUCAGCACGUGACUGCCAAGCGUUCAUAAUGUCUUGGUUCUCUGGGAUGGGUGCAUCACCUAGUGGUCCUUCUAGGACAUAUGCUUUCUUAGCAGCUAUGAGGAUGAUCCUCAGGUUCUGGACCUAGUCCGUAUAGUUGCUUCCAUCAUCUUUCAGCUUGCUUUCUCUAGGAACGCGUUGAAGUUCAUGUUGACAUGAGCGUUGGCCAUUUGAUCUACAAGACAUUUUUGCAAAGAUUUUAGACUAAGUUCAUGAUAAUUAAGUUCAUCUAAUCAAAUUAUUUAAUGAACUCCCACUCAGAUUUGACAUCCCUCUAGUCAUCUAAGUGUUACACGAUCCGAGUCGACUAGGCCGUGUUCGAUCAUCACGUGAGACAGACUAGUCAUCAUCGGUGAACAUCUCGAUGUUGAUCGUAUCUUCCAUACGACUCAUGUUCGACCUUUCGGUCUCUGUGUUCCGAGGCCAUGUCUGUACAUGCUAGGCUCGUCAAGUUUAACCUAAGUGUUUUGCAUGUGUAAAACUGUCUUACACCCGUUGUAUGUGAACGUAGGAAUCUAUCACACCGGAUCAUCACGUGGUGCUUCGAAAUGACGAACUUUAGCAACGACGCACAGUUAGGGAGAACACUUUCUUGAAAUUAUUAUAAGGGAUCAUCUUAUUUACUACCGUCGUUCUAAGUAAACAAGAUGCAUAAACAUAAUAAACAUCACAUGCAAUUAUAUAGUAGUGACAUGAUAUGGCCAAUAUCAUAUAGCUCCUUUGAUCUCAAUCUUCGGGGCUCCAUGAUCAUCUUUGUCACCGGCAUGACACCAUGAUCUCCAUCAUCAUGAUCUCCAUCAUCGUGUCUCCAUGAAGUUGCUCGCCAACUAUUACUUCUACCACUAUGGCUAACGGUUUAGCAAUAAAGUAAAGUAAUUACAUGGCGUUAAAUCAUUGACACACAGGUCAUACAAUAAUUAAGACAACUCCUAUGGAUCCUGCCGGUUGUCAUAUUCAUCGACAUGCAAGUCGUGAUUCCUAUUACAAGAACAUGAUCUCAUACAUCACAAUAUAUCAUUCAUCAUUCAUCACAACUUUUGGCCAUAUCACAUCACAAGGCAAUUGCUGCAAAAACAAGUUAGACGUCCUCUAAUAGUUGUUGCAUCUUUUACGUCGCUGCAAUAGGGUUCUAGCAAGAACGUUUUCUUACCUACGAAAAAGCCACAACGUGAUUUGUCAACUUCUAUUUACCCUUCAUAAGGACCCUUUUCAUCGAAUCCGCUCCAACUAAAGUGGGAGAAACAGACACCCGCUAGCCACCUUAUGCAAGUAGUGCAUGUCAGUCGGUGAAACCUGUCUCAUGUAAGCGUACGUGUAAGGUCGGUCCGGGCCGCUUCAUCCCACAAUACCCUGAAGCAAAAUAAGACUAGUAGCGGUAAGAAAGUUGACAACAUCUACGCCCACAACAGAUUUGUGUUCUACUCGUGCAAUAGAGAACUACGCAUAGACCUAGCUCAUGAAGCCACUGUUGGGGAACGUUGCAUAAAAUAAAAAAUUUCCAACGUUCACCAAGAUCAAUCUAUGAGUUCAUCUAGCAACAAGAGAGGGAGUGCAUCUACAUACCCUUGUAGAUCGCGAGUGGAAGCGUACAAGAGAAUGGGGUUGAGGGAGUCAUACUCGUCGUGAUCCAAAUCACCGGAGAUUCUAGCGCCGAACGGACGGCACCUCCGCGUUCAACACACGUAUGGUCAGCGUGACGUCUCCUCCUUCUUUAUCCAGCAAGGGGAAAGGAGAGGUUGAUGAAGAUCCGGCAACACGACGGCGUGGUGGUGGAUGCAGCAGAGUUCCGGCAGGGCUUCGCCUAGUGACUACGGGAGGAGGAGGUGUAGAAAGGGGGGAGGGAGGCGCCAAGACUUCAGGGUGCGGCUGCCCUCCCCUCCCCCUCCUUUAUAUAGGCCCCUUGGGGGGGAGCCGGCCCUGGAGAUGGGAUAUCCAAAGGGGGCGGCGGCCAGGGGGGUGGAGUGCCCCCCAAGGCAAGUGGAGGCGCCCCCCCACCCUAGGGUUUCCAACCAUAGGCGCAGAGGGGGGCCAAGGGGGCACACCAGCCCACCAGGGGCUGGUCCCCUCCCCACUUCAGUCCACGGGGCCCUCCAGGAUAGGUGGCCCCACCCGGUGGACCCCCGGGACCCUUCCGGUGGUCCCGAUACAAUACCGGUGACCCCCGAAACUCUCCCGAUGGCCGAAACUGGACUUCCUAUAUAUAAUUUUAUCUUUGGACCAUUCCGGAACUCCUCGUGACGUCCGGGAUCUCAUCCGGGACUCCGAAAAACUUUCGGUUUGCUGCAUACUCAUAUCUCUACAACCCUAGUGUCACCGAACCUUAAGUGUGUAGACCCUACGGGUUCGGGAGACACGUAGACAUGACCGAGACGGCUCUUCGGUCAAUAACCAACAUCGGGAUCUGGAUACCCAUGUUGGCUCCCACAUGCUCCUCGAUGAUCUCAUCGGAUGAACCAUGAUGUCGAGGAUUCAAGCAACCCCGUAUUCAAUUCCCUUUGUCAAUCGAUAUUUUACUUGCCCGAGAUUCGAUCGUCGGUAUCCCAAUACCUCAUUCAAUCUCGUUACCGGCAAGUCACUUUAAUCGUACCAUAAUGCAUGAUCCCGUGACCAGACACUUGGUCACUUUGAGCUCAUUAUGAUGAUGCACUACCGAGUGGGCCCAGAGAUACCUCUCUGUCAUACGGAGUGACAAAUCCCAGUCUCGAUCCGUGUCAACCCAACAGACACUUUCGGAGAUACCUAUAGUGCACCUUUAUAGUCACCCAGUUACGUUAUGACCUUUGGUACACCCAAAGCUAUCAGGACCCCGACUCAAUGCCACAUCGAUCUAGCAUGUAACACCUCAUAUCACUUUGCGGCCUCACGCACGGUAUUCCCACGGGUGUCGUCUUACCUUUGCCCGGGACCGUUUGCACCUUUUGGCACACGUAUAUGAUAGUGUUGCUGGCAUCCAUAUGGUAAGGAGCCCGGGCUGACAUGGCUAGUCGUAAACCCAAAGUGGCACAGACUUACAGGGACAGGCAUCCAUGACCCAGCAUCGAACGUGUCGGUCAUCAGCAAGUGAAUCCGGGCUUUAGCACCGGGCUAGCAGGACUCCGGUAAACCGUGCUGCAGCGGGCUAACAGGACUCCGGUAUUCAUCGCAUGACAUUUCGCCGAAGGGACAGACACAGGAACGAAGAAGGCACAUGCCGGCCAGCCUAAGUGUUCCGGAGCAGUAGCAAGCUACCAUGGCUCAGUGGAAGCACUAGGAGACAUUUCCCGGUAAGAGAGGCUACUAAGGAUAAACAACUAGAUAGUCAGAUCCCACACAUACCAAGCAUUUCAAUCAUACACACAAUAUGCUCGAUAUGUGCAAAUACAACAAGGCAUCACAACAUGACUCUACAACACAAGUACUUUAUUUAAAGGCUCAGAGAGCCAUACAUAGUAUACACACAAGUACGGGUCACAUGACCCACAUUCAAGUAAUACAAGCAUACAAGCCAACAGCGGAAGUAACUUGUCUGAGUAGAGACAACUAGUAAAAUAAAAGAGGCCUGGGUAAGCCUAGCUAUACUACAUGGUCCUUCACAAGCUCAGGAUCACCACCUGGGCCUCAGUCUACUCAUCGAUGUCAACGUCUACGAAGAACCUGUCAGAAGGGGUUGUAGCAUCUUCUGUAAAAUGUAAAUUAGAGCAACAUGAGUACAAAGGUACUCAGCAAGACUUACAUCAGAUCCUACAUACAUGCACAUUAUCAAGAAGGGUUGGUGGGGUUAUUGCAGCAAGCCAGCUUCGACUCUUGGCUAAGCUAUCCUAUGAGACUCCAACUUGAAAUGGUUUUGCACACACGAGUCCACUACUCACCACUUCAAUACACAACCGAGGAUUCACCUCCGUCUUCCUACGGAAGAGCCAUCCUCGGCACUCACAAUUAUCUUGAGGCUUUUAGUAGUUUCCAUUUACUUGUCUAUGAACUGUUAUAGGCAACACAGAAGUCCUUUACCGCGGACACGGCUAUUCGAAUAGAUCAUUUAUAACCCUGCAGGGGUGUACUUCUUCAUACAUGUUUCCACCACUUAGCAUCUGCACACGACAUGUGCUCGGCAGACUUCAAGCGAAAGCGAAAGCCUAAACACUCAAGUCUCUAGUCCAGGUUUAUCGCCUAUUCAGGUUCCAUCCGCAGGGAGUCCGUCCGAGGUUUCCACAUACGGCCCCGAACGAUGUGUAUAGGGUUCCGUGACACCAAACAGGCGCCCGGUAUACCCGGCCACGUGCCUACCGCAUCACAGCCCACCCCUUCGAUCAGCGUUGCGCACGACCUCCAGCAUACUACAAACACCAGAAACUACUUGCAACUCCUGGACAGAGGACAAGGGUGAUUAAGAAGUCGAGCAGGGUCAUAUUUCAGGGCCCAAUGCAUGGUAGUAGCUGAACCAUGGAUCACAAACACAGAACUCAGUUCCUGAGGACGGCUUCAAUGAGACAAUCCACCAUGUACUCCUACAUGGCCUCUCAUAGCUACCUUUACCAAAUCCUGUUCACACACUUAGCUCACACUCAGUAGAAUAUGUUCACGCACCUCUGAUUCAUCCCCGAUGAAUCAGACCUGACUCAACUCUAAGCAAUAGCAGGCAUGACAAACAAACAUGAAUGAGUAGGCACAACAGGGCUCAAACAACUCCUACUCAUGCUAGUGGGUUUCAUCUAUUUACUGUGGCAAUGAUAGGUCCUGCAGAGGAUAAAGGGGUUCAGCUACCGCAGCAAGUAACAGAUGAAUCAUUGCUGUCCUAAUGCAGUAAAAGAGAGCAGGAGCGAGAGAGUAGGAUUGUAUCGAAAUGAACAAGGGGGUUUUGCUUGCCUGGCACUUCUGAAGAUAGUAUACUUCUUCAUCGGUGUCAGCGAUCACAACGUCGGUACAACGUCUACCGAGGGGGAACAACACUGGCAAACAGAGAAGAAACACGAUCAAUGCAAUGCACAAUAUGAUGCCUGCUAUGACAUGGCAAUAUGAAUGUGUUUUGGGCUAAUGCAAGCUAGAACAGAUUGAGAUGAGUCCAUUUGAACCAAAGAUUCAAAUGCAAACCCAUUUUAAGAGGUCAUAAUAGUGUAUUAACUUGUUUCACCUAAACAGCAAGGUUAAUGUGUUCUAACAUGCAUGAAACCAGUGCAGAUGGAUAGAUUGGAUUUUUUUGAUCAUUUUUCAUAUAUAAAUUAUUUCAUUCUAAGUUACGGUUAAAUUUCUAUGAAUUUUAGAAGUUUAGAGCAUUUUCUGGAAUUUCCUGUAUAAAAAUAAAUCUAGAAAAUACUUAUUGCGUCAGCAUUGCGUCACUCUGACGUCAGCAGUCAACGAGGCCGGUCCAGGUCAAACCUGACGUGUGGGGUCCACACAUCAGUGACACGGUUAACCAACAGGGUUAAUUAAAAUUAAACUAAACCUAAUCUAGUUUAGUUAAGGCCUGGGCCCACAUGUCAGAGGCUAACCUAACUAACUAAGUUAAUUACCGCUCAUUAAUCUAUCGCUUAAUUAAGCAGGGGCCUGGCCCACACGUCAAUGAGUCAGGGGGAAGUCAAACCCCGGUCAAACCCGCCGGACCUGGUCCACGGCUCGUCGCCGGCGACGACAGAGACAACGAGGCGGCUCGGGAAUGCUCUACAGGGCACCGUUUUACUCGUGGUUUGCGGCUACGGCUAGCUAGCAAUGCGGCGCAUCUAAUGGAGCGAAUGGGUGGAGCUGGGGUGGCCUGAGCCGACGGCGGCGAGCUCCAAGGCGGCGGCCGGAGUUCGGGCAAUGACGGGUUUGGCGCCACAGUGCAUGGGAGGAGGAGCUGGUGGGCGCUACGGGCUCUUGGGGGUGCACUGGGUGUAGUGACGCGCUCGGUUUGGACGGAGGUGAACUAAAAUGACGACAGCGACAAGUCUGGCACCAGUGAGGUUUCGGUCUCGACGGAAACGAGGGCUACGAUGAGCUAAUGGACAUGUGAGUAGGGGGGUCAGUAAAGGAGCUUACGGCGAGUGCAGAGGUGGCCUCGGCGUGCUCGGGGAAGCACUGGAGCGAGCGGUGCGGCGAGAGGGAUCUCCGGCGGCCGGUGACGAAGAUGAUCAAGAUGGCGUCAAUCCAGGGCCUCCGGCGAUGCGUGGCUAGACGGAGAGGACGAGGGAGGCGUGGCGAUGCUCGUGGACACGUCGGAGAGGCUCGGGGUUGGCUGCGGCUGCGGCUAUGGCGAACGGCGGCGGCGGUGGCGUUCGGUGGUGAGAGGGAGAGAGAGUAGAGGAGGGGGAGGAGCAUGGGGAGAGUGAGAGAGAGCCACAGGGGUUGCGUGUCGACGUCCAUGGCAUCCAGAGGGACGUCGGGAGGCGGUGGAAAGCUGGAGGUGGCCGAGGGGCGUGGGCGUGAAUGGCGGCCACACGCCUCUCAUCCUACUGGCGAGAGGUGGGAGAUGACUGGCAGAUGGGCCUGGUGGGCUGCUACAGUGCCAGGCCGGCCAGGUAAGCGCCAGGUAUUCUCUCUCUCUCUCUCUUUUGUUAAUGUUUUUCUAUUUUUCUGUAACUUCAGGGCUUUAUUAAAAAUGCCAGGGCAUUUCCAAAAAUCAUGAAACUAAUCAUGGCUACUGUUUAGAAUAUAUCCAACAGUAAACAUUUUAGUUUAUGAUUAUUUGAGCAUUUAAAAUAUUUUAUAGCACUUAAAUGCCCAAAUGCAAAUACUAUAGGAUUUAAUUUAGAAAUCCAGAAUGGCCUAGAAAUAUGUGCAUGACAUUUGGCAGAGGUUUUCACCUUUGACCGAAAUCAUGAACUUUUCUAAAGGGCAUUUGGGAUCACUAAAAAUAUUAUUUUUUUGAACCUAGUUGAAUUCAUUUGGUGCUAGGGUUUCAACAAUCCCCAUUUCAAGUUUCAUGAAAUUUAAACAUGAUGCAUGGAUGCAAAGUCACUAGUUACGAGCAAACUCUAGGGCUGUGAUAACUCACCCCCACUAAACAAGAAUCUCGUCUUGAGAUUCAAGACGUGAGGUAAGAAGACAAAGGGGGCACAAAACCAACACAAUCUUCAUGAUCCAGGUUGCACCUCAUAAGGUUGUUGAUUCGUUGCAUACAUUGAUCUUGACAUCCUCGCUUUUGAGAUCUUCAUCCAUGCGAUGACGACGGAAAGGAACUCUACUAGGAUUGAUCUUCUCAAAGACCGAAUUAUACAAUCUCAACUCGCGGAGUGAGAUGUUGAAACACCUUGAGUUGAGACACAAAACACAUCGAGAGGGAUGGAAGAACAAACGACGGGGUUUGAUUUGGUGGGAAACAAUUCCACGCUUAGAAAGAUGGUGGAUGGUGUCAAGGUGGCGAGGAAAUAAUUGCCAUGAUCCCGUAACGGGGCACCUUAGGGAAGGUGACUCGUAGGUUUGUUACCUUAAGUGGCAAAAGGAAUUAUUUUUGAUUCAGAGAUCAUUGAAACUCUUUAUACCAGCCUAAGGCAAUUCACAACAAUCGUUUGGCAGAGUACAAAGGGAUGGCAUACCCGGACUAGAAUGGAUGAUGUGGACUACCUUGUUGAAGACAACGUAAUGAAUGCUUUUUGCUUAUCAUCGGAGGUGGAGGGGACCCAUGGUAGGACCACUUCUAAAGAUGAUCCUGAACAACAAUUGCUGAGAAGGGCAGUCCAAGGAGGAUUGGCACAAGGCGGUGCAAGCUGGGAACGAAAUGCAAAUGUCGGGAAUGUUCCAACCAUCAUAUCUGCCUGAGAUUCAGAUUUGGUUGGUGUUAGGACAUUCCAGACUCAUCAAGUCUAGGAAGAAAAAUGAAAGUUUGCAACACAAAUCGAUGAGAUGACGUCGCGAGAUUCUCGGGAGAUAAACUACGAUAGCAAGCUCCAAAACAUGAGCUGGUUCUGCUAAACAUGUGUGAACACGCUGUCCCAGACAAACAUGACCACAUAGUAGUCUUAAUAUAAAACACUACCGAGUUCAGGUGGGGAACCAUCAUUGCGGAUAACGAAGUCCUUGCAUAAGUCAUGAUUCUUAAGAAGGAGCUUCUUCUCCCUGAACAAAUCAAUCAGUGGCUUGGUGUGCUAGGGAUACGUAAGCAAUGAAGAUGAUCAGUCUAUCAGACCAUAGAAUACUUCGCACAUGCAUGACUGACUUGGGAUGAUCCCGGAGGGAACAAAACUAACUUUCUCAAAUUCACGGCGGCAACUUGCACCUAAUGCGCGUGAACUUGGAGAGAGUCACUUCUUACAUCCAAGCAUAUUCUUCAUGAACGAAACACGAAGAUAAUGCUUAUAUAGUUUCCAAUACUAGCUGAAGGUUCAACACGAAUCAUGGAAGAGAUAAAAAUGUUGCUGAUGGGCUCAACAACAAUUCAUCUAGGUUUCCAUAUAAGUGGAAUUCCACAAUUAUGUGAACAAGGCGAUAGCAUCGGUCAGACCAAAGGAUAUAACGGUGUAUGCCCGAGGAAACAACCACGGGUAAGACAACAUUACGAAUAUCGUUGGUUCUGAUUUGACUUGACAAUAGCCCAUGCUCAAAUCAGAGAUUGGUUACGAUAAUAGAUCCAACAACUGAUCACAGGGACCAAUCGAUGAAGAUAUCAUCUUUCUUCAACAUACAUACAAGAUAUCACUUAACAUGAACUAAGUCGGACAAGCUUUUAUCUUCCAACUCUCCAAGUUGAUGUAUAGCUUAACCAACUAGCUCAGGGGUAUCCAACACGGAUUCUUGGAGAAAGGGUGGUUUACAAGAAUAAACCAACUUGAUCAUGAACUCAACAUAGCGGUCAGGUGACGACCUAGUGAUACUUCCGAGAAGAUAAUCAGAAAAUCAGGAACCACCGGUAUGUUACUAAGCUCGAGAGAAAUCUUGCUUUUCAGGGCAAGACGAUAUGAUCAAAUGAGCAAGGGAUUGACAAAAUCCUAACUCAACGACCGAAGAGUGCACCGGAAAUAGGGACUAGAUAGCACAAUCAACCUUAGGGUGACGAUUCAAUAAUCAACACGCUAAGAAUGAGGUUAGCGUCCAUUUAACUACCAAGCAACGGAGUUGCUAGCAGUAUUGAUUUCACACACCAUGAUUCACUUGUCAGUAUUCCGGUUGCAACAACACGGAACCGAGGAGCGAAUGAUGAUGGCAAGAAGUAUCACUACUUCAAGAAUCCAUAAGGGAAGGUGCAAUUCUCAUGACGUUCCUGACAUAAAGUGGGUAAUACUUCAGGGUAGAACAGAACAAAAGCUGAAUUAGUAUUUGAUCUGCGAUUUACAACUGCUUUGACCCGAUCCUGGAUAUGGAUGAGGUACGGGAGUUUGUUUCUCCUAGUCAUUCUAGAAUAGAAUGGCUUGACAUACCACUAGAGUAAUAGGCAUCAAUGAACGAAUGCACGCAUACUCUUGACUAUCAAUUGAUAGAUGGGGUCGGAAUACAACUAAGGAGGGACAACCCAAACGAACUUACGAUCUUCUGAGUUGUGGAUGCACAUAUUAGUAUGUCGAGCAAAGAUCAACAUUUUUCUUCCGGAUAACCCAUGCGGAGAAGGUAGGACUGGCAGAUUCACAAUAUAGAAUCGAGAACGCAUCAAGAGCACUCUGGUUGUGAUCUUUCGGUUAAACGAGGAACUUCUGCCAUAAGUAGUUCAUGGUAUUUGGAAGAAGGAAAUACCACGGACCUCGAGGACUAAUGCAAAGGUUACUAAUUUCCUAAAGGAACUAGCAAACACUAUCAUCAUGAGUAAGUGGGGUGAAUCUCGGUUCAAGAACCCAGGAAUAGAAUACCUACUACUAAGUGGCAUCACGGGAUGCUUUCGAGAAUAAAGGCCAGAAUUAUCACACCGGGAACAAAUCAUGGCUAGAUUACUAGAUGAUCCCCUAGGACACCUAGGGUCAUAAUAAUAAUUCCAACAUAUAUGUCGAGGCAAUAGAAUACUUCAACUCAGCAAUUAGUGUGAUUAACCUGGCUCAAAGGAACAUCAAAACCAGAGGGAAAUGAUUUGCAAGUGCAUCAGAUUGUUUAGAAACCUGGGAUGACUCGGACAACAUAACGGCUGUAAAUGCUCAAAAGGAAUUUUGAGACAUUUUGCAAAGAGUUGCAUAGACACUCAACAAUAUCAUAUCAAGGUUCUGGGUCCAACUUAGCAACAUAAUAGGGUAGUAGAACUGAACUAGGCUUAUAAUCAUCAAACCAAUAAGGUACUACUGAUUAGUAACACGUGAACCUGAUAGAGAGAAAAGAUCCUAAUCCUUAACCCCCGGUGGAAGAAUGGACUGACUCAGAUCAGAAUGCCAUGAGGUAAAGAAGUAAAAAGAGCCUUACGUACCAUCCCACAAUCAAUUCCCCUACAUAUAACUAAAGCAUUUCUAGACUCAACAUCGACCAGUUUGGCUUGGUAAUCCUACAGGCAGUCAGGCUCUUAUACCAAAGCUGUCAGGUCCUGAACGAUGUGUACAGGGUUCCGUGACACCAAACGGGCGCCCGGUAUACCCGGCCACGUGCCUACCGCAUCACAGCCCACCCCUCCGGUCAGCGUUGCGCACGGCCUCCAGCAUACUACAAACACCAGAAACUACUUGCAACUCCUGGACAGAGGACAAGGGUGAUUAAGAAGUCGAGCGGGGUCAUAUUUCAGGGCCCAAUGCAUGGUAGUAGCUGAAUCAUGGAUCACAAACACAUAACUCAGUUCCUGAGGGCGGCUUCAAUGAGACAACCCACCAUGUACUCCUACAUGGACUCUCACCGCUACCUUUACCAAAUCGUGUUCACACACUUAGCUCACACUCAGUAGAAUAUGUUCACGCACCUCUGAUUCAUCCCCGGUGAAUCCGACUUAACUCAACUCUAAGCAAUAGCAGGCAUGACAAACAAACAUGAAUGAGUAGGCACAACAGGGCUCAAACAACUCCUACUCAUGCUAGUGGGUUUCAUCAAUUUACUAUGGCAAUGACAGGUCAUGCAGAGGAUAAAGGGGUUCAGCUACCGCAGCAAGUAAUAGAUGAAUCGUUGUUGUCCUAAUGCAGUGAAAGAGAACAGGAGCGAUAGAGUAGCAUUGUAUCGGAAUGAACAAGGGGGUUUUGCUUGCCUAGCACUUCUGAAGAUAGUAUACUUCUUCAUCGGUGUCAUCGAUCACAACAUCGGUACAACGUCUACCGAGGGGGAACAACACCGGCAAACAGAGAAGCAACAUGAUCAAUGCAAUGCACAAUAUGAUGCAUGCUAUGACAUGGCAAUAUGAAUGUGUUUUGGGCUAAUGCAAGCUAGAACAGAUUGAGAUGAGUCCAUUUGAACCAAAGAUUCAAAUGCAAACCCAUUUUAAGAGGUCAUAAUAGUGUAUUAACUUGUUUCACCUAAACAGCAAGGUUAAUGUGUUCUAACAUGCAUGAAACCAGUGCAGAUGGAUAGAUUGGAUUUGUUUGAUCAUUUUUCAUAUAUAAAUUAUUUCAUUCUGAGUUACGGUUAAAUUUCUAUGAAUUUUAGAAGUUUAGAGCAUUUUCUGGAAUUUCCUGUAUAAAAAUAAAUCCAGAAAAUACUUAUUGCGUCAGCAUUGCAUCGCUCUGACGUCAACAGUGAACGAGGCCAGUCCAGGUCAAACCUGACGUGUGGGGUCCACACGUCAGUGACACGGUUAACCAACAGGGUUAAUUAAAAUUAAACUAAACCUAAUCUAGUUUAGUUAAGGCCUGGGCCAACAUGUCAGAGGCUAACCUAACUAAGUUAAUUACAGCUAAUUAAUCUAUCGCUUAAUUAAGCAGGGGCCUGGCCCACACGUCAGUGAGUCAGGGGGAAGUCAAACCCCGGUCAAACGGGGUCAAACCCGCCGGACCUGGUCCACGGCUCAUCGCCGGCGACGACAGAGACGAUGGGGCGGCUCGUGAAUGCUCUACAGGGCACCGUUUUACUCAUGGUUUGUGGCUACGGCUAGCUAGCAAUGCGGCGCAUCUAAUUGAGCGAACGGGAGGAGCUAGGGUGUCCUGAGCCGACGGCGGCGAGCUCCAAGGCGGCGGCCGGAGUUCGGGCAACGACGGGUUCGGUGCCAUAGUGCAUGGGAGGAGGAGCCGGUGGGCGCUACGGGCUCCUGGGGGUGCACUGGGUGUAGUGACGCGCUCGGUUUGGACGGAGGCGAACUAAAAUGACGACGGCAACAAGUCCGGCGCCGGUGAGGUUUCGGUCUCGACGGAAACGAGGGCUACGAUGAGCUAAUGGACAUGUGAGUAGGGGGGUUAGUAGAGGAGCUUACGACGAGUGCAUAGGUGGCCUAGGCGUGCUCGGGGAAGCACCGGAGCGAGCGGUGCAGCGAGAGGGAUCUCCGGCAGCCGGCGACGAAGAUGAUGAAGAUGGCGUCGAUCCAGGGCCUCCGGCGAUGCGUUGCUGUGCGGAGAGGACUAGGGAGGCGUGGCGAUGCUCGUGGACACGUCGGAGAGGCUCGGAGUUGGCUGCGGCUGCGGCUAUGGCGAACGGCGGCGGCGGUGGCGUUCGGUGGUGAGAGGGAGAGAGAGUAGAGGAGGGGGAGGAGCAUGGGGAGAGUGAGAGAGAGCCACAGGGGUUGCGUGUCGACGUCCAGGGCAUCCAGAGCGACGUCGGGAGGCGGUGGAAAGCUGGAGGUGGCCGAGGCGCGUGGGCGUGAAUGGCGGCCACACGCCUCUCGUCCUACUGGCGAGAGGUGGGAGAUGACUGGCAGAUGGGCCUGGUGGGCUGCUACAGUGCCAGGCCGGCCAGGUAAGCGCCAGAUAUUCUCUCUCUCUCUUUUGUUAAUGUUUUUUUAUUUUUCUGUAACUUCAGGGCUUUAUUAAGAAUGCCAGGGCAUUUCCAAAAAUCAUGAAACUAAUCAUGGCUACUGUUUAGAAUAUAUCCAACAGUAAACAUUUUAGUUUAUGAUUAUUUGAGCAUUUAAAAUAUUUUAUAGCACUUAAAUGCCCAAAUGCAAAUACUAUAGGAUUUAAUUUAGAAAUCCAGAAUGGCCUAGAAAUAUGUGCAUGACAUUUGGCAGAGGUUUUCACCGUUGACAGAAAUCAUGAAAUUUUCUAAAGGGCAUUUGGGAUCACUGAAAAUAUAUAUUUUUUGAACCUAGUUGAAUUCAUUUGGUGCUAGGGUUUCAACAAUCCCCAUUUCAAGUUUCAUGAAAUUUAAACAUGAUGCAUGGAUGCAAAGCCACUAGUUACAAGCAAACUCUGGGGCUAUGACAAAAGCACUCCUACGGUAUCGGUAUCCGGGAGUUACACGAUCUCAUGGUCUAAGGAGAAGAUACUUGACACUGGAAAAGCUCUAGCAAACGAACUACACGAUCUUGUGCUAUGCUUAGGAUUGGGUCUUGUCCAUCACAUCAUUUUCCUAAUGAUGUGAUCCCGUUAUCAACGACAUCUAAUGUCCAUAGUCAGGAAACCAUGACUAUCUGUUGAUCAACGAGCUAGUCAACUAGAGGCUCACUAGGGACAUAUUAUGGUCUAUGUAUUCACACGUGUAUUACGAUUUCCGGAUAAUACAAUUAUAGCAUGAAUAAAGACAAUUAUCAUGAACAAGGAAAUAUAAUAAUAAUCCUUUUAUUAUUGCCUCUAGGGCAUAUUUCCAACAACAUAUUCUACGAAGAUCUUUAUCGGUCAAACCACAUAACAACAUAGGUUCUUCCCUUUGUCAUCGGUAUGUUACUUGCCUGAGAUUCGAUCGUCGGUAUCUCAAUACCUAGUUCAAUCUCGUUACCGGCAAGUAUGUUUACUCAUUCCAUAAUGCAUGAUCCCGCAACUAACUCAUUAGUCACAUUGCUUGCAAGGCUUAUAGUGAUGUGCAUUACCGAGAGGGCCCAGUGAUACCUCUCCGACAAUCGGAGUGACAAAUCCUAACCUCGAUCUAUGCCAACUCAACAAGUACCAUCGGAGACACCUGUAGAGCACCUUUAUAAUCCCCCAGUUACGUUGUGACGUUUGGUAGCACACAAAGUGUUCCUCUGGUAUUUGGGAGUUGCAUAAUCUCAUAGUCAUAGGAACACGUAUAAGUCAUGAAGAAAGCAAUAGCAACAAACUAAACGAUCAAGUGCUAAGCUAACGAAAUGGGUCAAGUCAAUCACAUCAUUCUCUAAUGAUGUGAUCCCGUUAAUCAAAUGACAACUGUCUAUGGUUAGGAAACACAACCAUCUUUGAUUCAACGAGCUAGUCAAGUAGAGGCAUACUAGUGACACUUUGUUUGUCUAUGUAUUCACACAUGUACUAAGUUUCCGGUUAGUACUAUUCUAGCAUGAAUAAUAAACAUUUAUCAUGAUAUAUGGAAAUAUAAAUAACAACUUUAUUAUUGCCUCUAGGGCAUAUUUCCUUCAAAAUUUAGAGAUGACAAACAAAGCUUAAGUAGCAUCUGUUCUACUUGAUUGUAGAAAUUUCUUUUACCUGUAGAAUAACUCGGUUGUUAUUUCUUUAAACAUGAAGUGUGAUAUUAACUUAUCUCAAUCUAGGAACACAAAGCAAAUAUUACAUGUGCUUCUAUGGACUCCAAGCAGAUGAGAAAUCAUUUUGUCUAGAAGUUCCUUAGAAGGAUAUAAUAGUUUUGACCUAAACAAAUUUACUAUUGUACUCGUGUCUUACAAAGUUAAAGCUGAAAAUCAACAUAACCAUUGGACCCUUUGAAAGACAAGUGUAGGAAAUAAAUAGUAGGAUAUAAAUUUGAGCAGAAUGUUUGAUCAAAUACUGAACAAAUAACCCAGCAAACUACUAAAACUCGUCUAUUCUACCUUAUAUGAACUGUCACGAUGAUAAAGCUAUGAUUUUUUUUGGCAAAUAAGUAUCCUAGAACUAAUACAAGUUCAAACAAAUCAGCCACAGAUCCCCGAGCCCAUCCAACCAGAUAGCUGAAACUGAAAGAAGCAUUAGCUCGAUUAGAGCACCUACAGCGGAACUUGACAAAUUUGACCCCUGAAACGCCCGCGGACACGCGUGUUAGUAGACAUAAACCAAUCUUUAAGCAGAGCACGUCCGGCAGUCGGAUGCUCCCCAAAGUGUUGGUCCAGUCGCCGGCAAGGUAGAGUAGGGCAUGGGAUACAAGGCGGCUCACGGGACUCGAGGCGCCACCGUCCCCCAUUCCCAACUCUUCUCAGUCGGAACCCGGACAGUGCCGGUGGACGUCAGAUCGAUGAUGGAUCCUUCCUGGGACGAGCCAGCAACAUCCACCACCACGUGGUUGUGCAGCCCGAACUAGUGCACAAUAUGGGGAGCCGGAAAAUACGACUCCGCCUCCGCAACGCCCACCACCGCGAGGGCUGUCGCUGCCUCCCGCACCCGCUGCAUUGCAUGGCAGGAGCGCCGAACUAUGUUUUGCAUCGGGCGACGCCCAUGGUGCGUCCAUGGCCUCAGUGCGCCAAUGGAGGGGCUGCGCGUCCGCCACCCAUUCAAACGCCAGAUGGACCGCACCACCUUUGUGUUGGAAAUAUGCCCUAGAGGAAAUAAUAAAAGGAUUAUUAUUGUAUUUCCUUGUUCAUGAUAAUUAUCUUUAUUCAUGCUAUAAUUGUAUUAUCCAGAAAUCGUAAUAGACGUGUGAAUACAUAGACCAUAAUAUGUCCCUAGUGAGCCUCUAGUUGACUAGCUCGUUGAUCAACAGAUAGUCAUGGUUUCCUGACUAUGGACAUUAGAUGUCGUUGAUAAUGGGAUCACAUCAUUAAGAUAAUGAUGUGAUGGACAAGACCCAAUCCUAAGCAUAGCACAAGAUCGUGUAGUUCGUUUGCUAGAGCUUUUCCAAUGUCAAGUAUCUUCUCCUUAGACCAUGAGAUCGUGUAACUCCCGGAUACCGUAGGAGUCCUUUGGGUGUACCAAACGUCACAACGUAACUGGGUGACUAUAAAGGUGCACUACAGGUAUCUCCGAAAGUGUUUGUUGGGUUGACACCGAUCGAGACUGGGAUUUGUCACUCCGUAUGACGGAGAGGUAUCGCUGGGCCCACUCGGUAGUGCAUCAUCAUAAUGAGCUCAAAGUGACCAAGUGUCUGGUCACGGGAUCAUGCAUUACGGUACGAGUAAAGUGAAUUGCCGGUAACGAGAUUGAACGAGGUAUUGGGAUACCGACGAUCGAAUCUCGGGCAAUUAAAAUACCGAUUGACAAAGGGAAUUGAAUACGUGGUUGCUUGAAUCCUCGACAUCGUGGUUCAUCCGAUGAGAUCAUCGAGGAGCAUGUGGGAGCCAACAUGGGUAUCCAGAUCCCGCCGUUGGUUAUUGACUGGAGAGCCGUCUCAGUCAUGUCUACGUGUCUCCCGAAUCCGUAGGGUCUACACACUUAAGGUUCGGUGACGCUAGGGUUGUAGAGAUAUGAGUAUGCAGCAAACCGAAAGUUGUUCGGAGUCCCGGAUGAGAUCCCGGACAUCACGAGGAGUUCCGAAUGGUCCGGAGAUAAAGAAUUAUAUAUAGGAAGUGCAUUUUCAGCGAUCGGGAGAGUUUCGGGGGUCACCGGUAUUGUACCGGGACCACCGGAAGGGUCCCGGGGGUCCACUGGGUGGGGCCACCUAUCCCGGAGGGCCCCGUGGGCUGAAGUGGGGAGGGGACCAGCCCAUAGUGGGCUGGUGCGACCCCCUUGCCCCACCUACGCCUAGGGUUGGAAACCCUAGGGUGGGGGGCGCCUCCACUUGCCUUGGGGGGCACUCCACCCCCCUGGCCGCCGCCCCCUUGGGAGAUCCCAUCUCCAGGGCCGGCGCCCCCCCAGGGGGCCUAUAUAAAGGAGGGGGAGGGGAGGGCAGCCGCACCCUGAAGUCUUGGCGCCUCCCUCCCCCCUUGCUACACCUCCUCCUCCCGUAGUCGCUUGGCGAAGCCCUGCCGGAACUCUGCUGUAUCCACCACCACGCCGUCGUGCUGCUGGAUCUUCAUCAACCUCUCCUUCCCCCUUGCUGGAUCAAGAAGGAGGAGACGUCACGCUGACCGUACGUGCGUUGAACGCGGAGGUGCCGUCCGUUCGACGCUAGGAUCUCUGGUGAUUUGGAUCACGACGAGUACGACUCCCUCAACCCCGUUCUCUUGAACGCUUCCGCUCGCGAUCUACAAGGGUAUGUAGAUGCACUCCCCUCUCUCGUUGCUAGAUGAACUCAUAGAUUGAUCUUGGUGAACGUAGGAAAUUUUUUAUUUUAUGCAACGUUCCCCAACAGUGGCAUCAUGAGCUAGGUCUAUGCGUAGUUCUCUAUUGCACGAGUAGAACACAAAUCUGUUGUGGGCGUAGAUGUUGUCAACUUUCUUGCCACUACUAGUCUUAUUUUGCUUCAGCGGUAUUGUGGGAUGAAGUGGCCCGGACCGACCUUACACGUACGCUUACGUGACACAGGUUCCACCGACUGACAUGCACUAGUUGCAUAAGGUGGCUAGCGGGUGUCUGUCUCUCCCACUUUAGUUGGAGCGGAUUCGAUGAAAAGGGUCCUUAUGAAGGGUAAAUAGAAGUUGACAACUCACGUUGUGGCUUUUUUGUUGGUAAGAAAACAUUCUUGCUAGAACCCUAUUGCAGCCACGUAAAAGAUGCAACAACAAUUAGAGGACGUCUAACUUGUUUUUGAAGCAAUUGCCUUGUGAUGUGAUAUGGCCAAAAGUUGUGAUGAAUGAUGAAUGAUAUAUUGUGAUGUAUGAGAUCAUGUUCUUGUAAUAGGAAUCACGACUUGCAUGUCGAUGAGUAUGAAAACCGGCAGGAGCCAUAGGAGUGGUCUUAAUUAUUGUAUGACCUGCGUGUCAAUGAUUUAACGCCAUGUAAUUACUUUACUUUAUUGCUAAACCGUUAGCCAUAGUAGUAGAAGUAAUAGUUGGCGAGCAACUUCAUGGAGGCACGAUGAUGGAGAUCAUGAUGAUGGAGAUCAUGGUGUCAUGCCGGUGACAAAGAUGAUCAUGGAGCCCCGAAGAUGGAGAUCAAAGGAGCUAUAUGAUAUUGGCCAUAUCAUGUCACUACUAUAUAAUUGCAUGUGAUGUUUAUUAUGUUUAUGCAUCUUCUUUACUUAGAACGACUGUAGUAAAUAAGAUGAUCCCUUAUAAUAAUUUCAAGAAAGUGUUCUCCCUAACUGUGCGUCGUUGCUAAAGUUCGUCGUUUCGAAGCACCACGUGAUGAUCGGGUGUGAUAGAUUCCUACGUUCACAUACAACGGGUGUAAGACAGUUUUACACAUGCAAAACACUUAGGUUAAACUUGACGAGCCUAGCAUGUAUAUACAUGGCCUCAGAACACAGAGACCGAAAGGUCGAACAUGAGUCAUAUGGAAGAUACGAUCAACAUGGAGAUGUUCACCAAUGAUGACUAGUCCGUCUCACGUGAUGAUCGGACACGUCCUAGUCGACUCGGAUCGUGUAACACUUAGAUGACUAGAGGGAUGUCAAAUCUGAGUGGGAGUUCACUAAAUUAGAUGAACUUAAUUAUCAUGAACUUAGUCUAAAAUCUUUGCAAAAAUGUCUUGUAGAUCAAAUGGCCAACGCUCAUGUCAACAUGAACUUCAACGAGUUCCUAGAGAAAACCAAGCUGAAAGAUGAUGGCAGCAACUAUAUGGACUGGGUCCAGAACCUGAGGAUCAUCCUCAUAGCUUCCAAGAAAGCAUAUGUCCUAGAAGGACCACUAGGUGAUGCACCCAUCCCAGAGAACCAAGAUGUUAUGAACGCUUGGCAGUCACGUGCUGAUGAUUACUCCCUCGUUCAGUGCGGCAUGCUUUACAGCUUAGAACCGGGUCUCCAAAAGCGUUUUGAGAAACACGGAGCAUAUGAAAUGUUCGAGGAGCUGAAAAUGGUUUUCCAAGCUCAUGCCCGGGUCGAGAGAUAUGAAGUCUCCGACAUGUUCUAUAGUUGUAAGAUGGAGGAAAAUAGUUCUGUCAGUGAGCACAUACUCAAAAUGUCUGGGUUGCACAACUGCCUAACCCAGCUGGACAUCAACCUCCCGGACGAGGCGGUCAUUGACAGAAUCCUUCAGUCGCUCCCACCAAGCUACAAGAGAUUUGUGAUGAACUACAAUAUGCAGGGGAUGGUGAAAACUAUUCCUGAAGUAUUUUCAAUACUGAAGUCUGCAGAGGUAGAAAUCAAGAAAGAACAUCAAGUGUUGAUGGUCAAUAAAACCACCAAGUUCAAGAAGGGCAAGGGUAAGAAAAACUUCAAGACGGACGGCAAGGAUGUUGCCGCACCCGGUAGGCCAGUUGCCGGGAAGAAGUCAAAGAAUGGACCCAAGCCUGAGACUGAGUGCUUUUAUUGCAAAAGGAAGGGUCACUGGAAGCGGAACUGCCCCAAAUAGUUAGCGGACAAGAAGGCCGGCAACACUAAAGGUAUAUGUGAUAUACAUGUAAUUGAUGUGUACCUUACCAGUACUCGUAGUAACUCCUGGGUAUUUGAUACCGGUGCCGUUGCUCAUAUUUGUAACUCACAGUAGGAGCUGCGGAAUAAGCGGAGACUGGCGAAGGACGAGGUGACGAUGCGCGUCGGGAAUGGUUCCAAGGUCGAUGUGAUUGCCGUCGGCACGCUGCCUCUACAUUUACCCACGGGAUUAGUUUUAAACCUCAAUAAUUGUUAUUUAGUGCCAAGUUUGAGCAUGAACAUUGUAUCUGGAUCUCGUUUAAUACGAGAUGGCUACUCAUUUAAAUCCGAGAAUAAUGGUUGUUCUAUUUAUAUGAGAGAUAUGUUUUAUGGUCAUGCCCCGAUGGUCAAUGGUUUAUUCUUAAUGAAUCUCGAACGUAAUGUUACACAUAUUCAUAGUGUGAAUACCAAAAGAUGUAAAGUUGAUAACGAUAGUCCCACAUACUUGUGGCACUGCCGCCUUGGUCAUAUUGGUGUCAAGCGCAUGAAGAAGCUCCAUGAUGAUGGACUUUUAGAGUCUGUCGAUUAUGAAUCAUUUGACACAUGCGAACCAUGCCUCAUGGGCAAAAUGACCAAGACUCCGUUCUCCGGAACAAUGGAGCGAGCAACCAACUUAUUGGAAAUCAUACAUACUGAUGUGUGUGGUCCAAUGAGCGUUGAGGCUCGCGGAGGAUAUCAUUAUGUUCUCACUCUCACUGAUGACUUGAGUAGAUAUGGGUAUGUCUACUUGAUGAAACACAAGUCUGAGACCUUUGAAAAGUUCAAGGAAUUUCAGAAUGAGGUAGAGAAUCAACAUGACCGAAAGAUAAAGUUCCUACGAUCAGAUCGUGGAGGAGAAUAUUUAAGUCACGAAUUUGGUACGCACUUAAGGAAAUGUGGAAUCAUUCCACAACUCACGCCGCCUGGAACACCUCAGCGUAACGGUGUGUCCGAAUGUCGUAAUCGCACUCUAUUGGAUAUGGUGCGAUCUAUGAUGUCUCCUACCGAUUUACUGCUAUCAUUUUGGGGAUACGCUCUAGAGACAGCUACAUUCACUUUAAACAGGGCUCCGUCUAAAUCCGUUGAGACGACACCGUAUGAAUUAUGGUUUGGGAAGAAACCUAAGCUAUCGUCUCUAAAAGUUUGGGGAUGCGAUGCUUAUGUCAAGAAACUUCAACCUGAAAAGCUCGAACCCAAGUCGGAAAAAUGCGUCUUCAUAGGAUACCCUAAGGAAACCAUUGGGUAUACCUUCUACUUAAGAUCCGAGGGCAAGAUCUUUGUAGCCAAGAACGGAUCCUUUCUGGAAAAAGAGUUUCUCUCGAAAGGAGUAAGUGGGAGGAAAGUAGAACUCGAUGAAGUAGUACCUCUUGAACCGGAAAGUAGUGGAGCUCAGGAAAAUGUUCCUGUGGUGCCUACACCGACUAGAGAGGAAAUUAAUGAUGAUGAUCACAGUACUUUGGAUCAAGUUGCUACUGAACUUCGUAGGUCCACAGGGACACAUUCCAAACCAGAGUGGUAUGGCAACCCUGUCCUGGAAAUCAUGUUUUUAGACAACGGUGAACCUUCGAACUAUGAAGAAGCGAUGGCGGGCCCAGAUUCCAACAAAUGGCUUGAAGGCAUGCAAUCCGAGAUAGAAUCCAUGUAUGAAAACAAAGUAUGGACUUUGACAGACUUGCCCGAUGAUCAGCGAGCGAUAGGAAACAAAUGGAUCUUUAAGAAGAAGACAGACGCGGAUGGUAAUGUUACCAUCUAUAAAGCUCGACUUGUCGCUAAGGGUUAUCGGCAAGUUCAAGGGGUUGACUACGAUGAAACUUUCUCUCCCGUAGCAAAGCUGAAGUCCGUCUGAAUCAUGUUAGCAAUUGUCGCAUACUAUGAUUAUGAGUUAUGGAAGAUGGACGACAAAACGGCAUUCCUUAACGGGCAUCUUAAGGAAGAACUGUAUAUGAUGCAGCCGGAGGGUUUUGUCGAUCCUAAGAAUGAUAAUAAGGUAUGCAAGCUCCAGCAAUCCAUUUAUGGGCUGGUGCAAGCAUCUCGGAGUUGGAACAUUCGCUUUGAUGAGAUUUUCAAAGCGUUUGGGUUUAUGAAGACUUAUGGAGAAGCCUGCGUUUACAAGAAAGUGAGUGGGAGCUCUGUAGCAUUUCUCAUAUUAUAUGUAGAUGACAUACUUUUGAUGGGAAAUGAUAUAAAACUUUUGGACAGCAUUAAGGCCUACUUGAAUAAGUGUUUUUCAAUGAAGGACCUUGGAGAAGCUGCUUACAUAUUAGGCAUCAAGAUCUAUAGGGAUAGAUCGAGACGCCUCAUAGGUCUUUCACAAAGCACAUACCUUAAUAAAAUAUUGAAGAAGUUUAAAAUGGAUCAGUCCAAGAAAGGGUUCUUGCCUGUAUUGCAAGGUGUGAAGUUGAGCUUGGCUCAAUGCCCGACCACGGCAGAAGAUAAAGAAGAGAUGAGUGUCAUCCCCUAUGCCUCAACCAUAGGAUCUAUUAUGUAUGCCAUGUUGUGCACCAGACCUGAUGUAAACCUUGCCGUAAGUUUGGUAGGAAGGUACCAAAGUAAUCCCGGCAAGGAACACUGGACAGCGGUCAAGAAUAUCCCGAAGUACCACAAAAGGACAAAGGACAUGUUUCUCGUUUAUGGAGGUGACAAAGAGCUCGUCGUAAAGGGUUACGUCGAUGCUAGCUUCGACACAGAUCUGGAUGACUCUAAGUCACAAACCGGAUACGUGUAUAUGUUGAAUCGUGGAGCAGUAAGCUGGUGCAGUUGCAAGCAGAGCGUCGUGGCGGGAUCUACAUGUGAAGCGGAGUACAUGGCAGCCUCGGAGGUAGCGCAUGAAGCAAUAUGGAUGAAGGAGUUCAUCACCGACCUAGGAGUCAUACCCAAUGCGUCGGGGCCAAUCACUCUCUUCUGUGACAACACUGGAGCUAUUGCCCUUGCCAAGGAGCCCAGGUUUCACAAGAAGACCAGGCACAUCAAGCGUCGUUUCAACUCCAUUCGUGAAAAUGUUCAAGAUGGAUACAUAGAUAUUUGCAAAGUACAUACGGAUCUGAAUAUCGCAGAUCCGUUGACUAAACCUCUUCUGCGAGCAAAACAUGAUCAACACCAGAACUCUAUGGGUGUUCGAUUCAUCACAAUGUAACUAGAUUAUUGACUAUAGUGCAAGUGGGAGACUGUUGGAAAUAUGCCCUAGAGGCAAUAAUAAAAGGAUUAUUAUUAUAUUUCCUUGUUCAUGAUAAUUGUCUUUAUUCAUGCUAUAAUUGUAUUAUCCGGAAAUCGUAAUACACGUGUGAAUACAUAGACCAUAAUAUGUCCCUAGUGAGCCUCUACUUGACUAGCUCGUUGAUCAACAUAUAGUCAUGGUUUCCUGACUAUGGACAUUAGAUGUCGUUGAUAAUGGGAUCACAUCAUUAGGAGAAUGAUGUGAUGGACAAGACCCAAUCCUAAGCAUAGCACAAGAUCGUGUAGUUCGUUUGCUAGAGCUUUUCCAAUGUCAAGUAUCUUCUCCUUAGACCAUGAGAUCGUGUAACUCCCGGAUACCGUAGGAGUGCUUUGGGUGUACCAAACGUCACAACGUAACUGGGUGACUAUAAAGGUGCACUACAGGUAUCUCCGAAAGUGUAUGUUGGGUUGACACGGAUCGAGACUGGGAUUUGUCACUCCGUAUGACGUAGAGGUAUCUCUGGGUCCACUCGGUAGUGCAUCAUCAUAAUGAGCUCAAAGUGACCAAGUGUCUGGUCACGGGAUCAUGCAUUACGGUACGAGUAAAGCGACUUGCCGGUAAAGAGAUUGAACAAGGAAUUGGGAUACCGAUGAUCGAAUCUCGGGCAAGUAAAAUACCGAUUGACAAAGGGAAUUGAAUACGGGGUUGCCUGAAUCCUCGACAUCGUGGUUCAUCCGAUGAGAUCAUCGAGGAGCAUGUGGGAGCCAACAUGGGUAUCUAGAUCCCGCUGUUGGUUAUUGACCGGAGAGCCAUCUCGGUCAUGUCUACGUGUCUCCCGAACCCGUAGGGUCUACACACUUAAGGUUCGGUGACGCUAGGGUUGUAUAGAUAUGAGUAUGCAGCAAACUGAAAGUUGUUCGGAGUCCCGGAUGAGAUCCCGGACGUCACGAGGGGUUCCGGAAUGGUCCGGAGAUAAAGAAUUAUAUAUAGGAAGUGCAGUUUCGGCCAUCGGGAGAGUUUCGGGGGUCACCGGUAUUGUACCGGGACCACCGGAAGGGUCCCUGGGGUCCACCGGGUGGGGCCACCAAUCCCGGAGGGCCCCGUGGGCUGAAGUGGGGAGGGGACCAGCCCCUGGUGGGCUGGUGCGCCCCCCUUGGGCCCCCCCUCCCGCGCCUAGGGUUGGAAACCCUAGGGUGGGGGGGGCGCCUCCACUUGCCUUGGAGGGCACUCCACCCCCUGGCCGCCGUCCCCUUGGGAGAUCCCAUCUCUAGGGCCGGCUCCCCCCCAGGGGUCCUAUAUAAAGGAGGGGGAGGGGAGGGCAGCCGCACCCUGAAGUCUUGGCGCCUCCCUCCCCCCUUGCUACACCUCCUCCUCCCGUAGUCGCUUGGCGAAGCCCUGCCGGAACUCUGCUGCAUCCACCACCACGUCGUCGUGCUGCUGGAUCUUCAUCAACCUCUCCUCCCCCCUUGCUGGAUCAAGAAGGAGGAGACGUCACACUGACCGUACGUGUGUUGAACGCGGAGGUGCCGUCCGUUCGGCGCUAGGAUCUCCGGUGAUUUGGAUCAUGACGAGUACGACUCCCUCAACCCCAUUCUCUUAAACGCUUCCGCUCGCGAUCUACAAGGGUAUGUAGAUGCACUCCCCUCUCUUGUUGCUAGAUGAACUCAUAGAUUGAUCUUGGUGAACGUAGGAAAUUUUUAUUUUAUGCAACGUUCCCCAACACUUUGGUGAGGCGGUGAUGGUACACCUAGCGCCGGAUCCAUGCAUCAUUUGGGCGGACGCAUUGGAUUCCCCGCGGAAGGAGUUCGAGUGUUGCCGUUGCCAUCGGGCAGCCUCCUCCCGGGAGCGGUGGAGCGCAAGCUGGAUGGCCAGCUCCUCCUAGGAGCCGCGUGGGAUGAGUUCGGGGUUGACGGAUCUGGAGGUGUAACACUGGGAUCCGCCUCCUGCCAUGCCGAAGAAGGCCAUAAGAUCGUCGAACGGGAGCUUGGGUGGCGGCAUAGAGUGGAGUAAAGUGGCUAGGGUUUGGUCCGGCAAGCGGAUGGGGAGGAAUAUAUGUGGGGUCGGGUGGGCCAGCGUGGACCGGGACCGACAUGGCGGACGCGCCUGGGCGCCGCAUAUUCUUCCUAGAUUUGGGCUGGAUAUCAGGGGUGCUGGUUAGCUUGGGCGUUUGAGGCCCAUCUGGAUAGUUUUUCUGUGACCUGACCGUUCGUCCGGGCGUUUGAGGUGGGUUUGGGACGCCCAGGUGUAAAUGCUCUUAGACCAUGUAGUACCUUGAGGAGGAUGGUGGGUCCAUGGAACAACUACAGCCUCUCCAUUUUGUUUGGGCGCAGGGCGAUAACGGAGUUAUCUCUACUCCUAAAGAGGGAGUCGUUAGUCUCCCUUCCACGGUUUUUUUGUCUUACCUCCCAUCUUUGUUUCAUUUUUUCCGUCUCUUUUUCCACCACCGUCUGUUUUUUCUCAUCUCCACCUGGCAUGUAACGAAAAAAAAUCUGUUUCAUAGGUCGAUUGUCAAGGUCCGAGAGCCGCCGCCACCUUCAUUGCGGACCUCUAGGUCGCCGUCCGGACACACCGCCGAGGUCCGCAAUCACCGACGUUGAGGUCCGAGAGGAGCUGCCGCCCCCUUCAUUCUGGGCCUGGACGCUUCAUGGUCCUCCUACCUCUCCCUUUCCUCUCCCCUUCUCUCCCGCUUCCAUCCUCACUCGCCGCCCCUGCCUCUCNNNNNNNNNNNNNNNNNNNNNNNNNNNNNNNNNNNNNNNNNNNNNNNNNNNNNNNNNNNNNNNNNNNNNNNNNNNNNNNNNNNNNNNNNNNNNNNNNNNNNNNNNNNNNNNNNNNNNNNNNNNNNNNNNNNNNNNNNNNNNNNNNNNNNNNNNNNNNNNNNNNNNNNNNNNNNNNNNNNNNNNNNNNNNNNNNNNNNNNNNNNNNNNNNNNNNNNNNNNNNNNNNNNNNNNNNNNNNNNNNNNNNNNNNNNNNNNNNNNNNNNNNNNNNNNNNNNNNNNNNNNNNNNNNNNNNNNNNNNNNNNNNNNNNNNNNNNNNNNNNNNNNNNNUCUCUCUCUCUCUCUCUCUCUCUCUUGUUUCCUACCCCACUGGUUCUACAAUGCUGGUCGUCGCCUUGGGUUGGCGAACCUAGCUACUGUGGGUUGGGAUUCAAAUGCCACAUCAUCUUUGGGACGCGGCCGUGACGGCUUGGCCUGAUGCCUGCGAAGUAGGGCGAGCAGAGACAACAUGAGACUGCGCCGCUGUGCUGUUCGCCGUGACGCGCUGUCACGCUGUGUAGAUGGAGGAUGCGUGCCCAAGCCUUGUUGUGCCUGUCUUCCCGUGCGGUAGUCGGGAUCUGGACUGGAUCGGGGUUGAGUUCGACACCACCGAACCCCGGCUUCCAGGAGACCAGGCGCCUCCUCUCCUCAUCACCCGUCUCACCAGAGGCAUGUGCAGAAUUCCGUACACCAUCUGCGCAAACAUGGUGGUCGACGACGCUCUGGAUGUGGUCUACGUGAGGACUAGGUUCCAUCAUUAACAUGUACCCUGGCAAGGUAUGUGCUAUGGGAUGUAAACUCUCGAUUUUAUCUUCAUUUUAGUUGCCUUCAUCUCAUGCUUUGUUCGUUCCAUAGGCAUUUGUCAUGAAUCUAUUUUCAGGAGGGUGAUGUUAACGAUUUCAAAAACUUGAUAGCAGGGUAUGGCUAUAGUUAUUGGUCAUGCAUUAUCGCGAGGCUUGACAAGCAUACCAUAAAAUGGUUUUUAUUUAUGCUCUCGUAGGUUAAACCAAUCUCUGUCAUUAUGAAAUUGGCAUAGCUGAACAUGAUCAGGACUUCAGCAGGGCAGGGUCAUUACUUUGGAGUUUCAGCACUCAUAGUUGGUGAGUGCUUAUGUCCUAAAAUUUUGGAUGUGACUAAACAUAGGCUGGUAUGGCUAAUCUUUUUUGCUUUUCUGUCCUUGCUCUUCACGGAAUCUUCAGGUUUACGGAUUGAUAAUUGUGAUCUAUGUUUCAACCACUUCCCAAUGUUUUACUUGAUGAGAAGGUUCUAAUUUUAUUUUAUUUUAUUUCACUUGAUGAGAAGGGUCCAUGUUUCACCGACUUUGUACAAGUGUGUUUGCUUAGCUAGAUUUCUGCCCUUAUUUUCUAUUUGACAUCCCUCAAUCAUUUUCUGCAGAUUCACUUCGUUCGUAUUCUAUAUUGUUGUAAGUGCACCUAGGGAUAUUAUAGUAGUUCUUAUCUGCAGUUUACUACAACUGGUGACCACAUCUCCAUAUUAUUAUCUUUAAAAUGUACUUUCAAAAAGUAAACUAAUUAACGUUAACCUUCCGCUCUGUAGAAACCACAUAAUUUCAACUCAUUAAUCAUUUUUUAGCGGAAAGGCAGUAAUCAAUGAUGGCGAUUUAAACUGUACUCCUUAUAGUAUUGAUAUUCCCCAUGCACCGGUAUGUUCUCGUACAUCCGUGAAACUUCUGAGUCAAAAUGUUAUAUCCUUAUGUAUACAGUUCAUCAUUGGUUGUUACAGAAUUUCCCAGUGGGCACAACCUCAACCCACACCUCCCACCAGGAUCUUCUCUCUGCCGGAGCCAUCCUACCUGCAGCCAGCUCCCCCUCGUACGCCCUGAUCUCCACCUUGUGUGCUGGUCCAUUCAUCAUAGCUAGAAGGUAAUGACUAAUGAGCAUGUCAUCUCUGCCCCUCUCAAUUUCAUCCUUGUGUUGUUUAUUUUUCAGAGAAUGUGGUAUUAUGUAGCCCCUCUCUGUUGAUGAAUUGAAUGUAUAGAUUAUAUACUAGCAAAAGAGCCCGUGCGUUGCAACGGGAUAAUAAAACCGACGAAUUGUACUCGUGUGACUUGAGCUUUGGUUGGUUUCACACGCUUAUACUUCUUAGUUUUCUUGUAAAAUAAUAUGGCGGUAUUUAUACUAUUCAGGGUUGGUUAUCCAUCCGUCAGGUUAUUCAGGGCGUAAAUUUACGGAAAGAAGCAUAUUGUGACGGUGAAUGCGACGGAGUCAAUCCGUGCUUUAUUAUUUGGAAAAGAGAAAUAUGCCUAUGCAUUGCUACGGCUCUAGAAUAAACCUAUACAUGGUCAAAAUACAGGACAGCAACAUGUCUUCUUUUAGUUUUUUUCAAACCAUUAGAAAUAUGUUAGAUUUUACUUAAGUUUAGUUCCCUUAUUCCACCAUAAAGCAUUCCGGUUGAAAAGGAGAUGGCGUCUGUCAUUUACUUUCUAGAAAAACAUAGAGUCGAUAAACUUUCCUGUAUCUUCAGCCAUAGGUCCUUUACUCAUAUUUAAAAAAUUGUAAUAUUUAAUCCAAGCAAAAUUAUAUGAAUUACAGGAAAAAUUGUACUCAUGUGACUUGAGCUUUGGUUGGUUUCACACGCUCAUACUUCUUAGUUUUUUUGUAAAAUAAUACGGCGGUAUUUAUACUAUUCAGGGUUGGUUAUCCAUCCGUCAGGUUAUUCUUGAAGCUAGCUAGUAAUCACCAUGAGUUCAGUUGGCGUUCCAAGUAAUCACCAAGCCAAUCGACCGUGAGCAUCCGGACGUUAGCUGCGAAUGACAGACGGCUGGAUGGGCUAAUGAAGAUUAAACCUCAAUUUUGUACGCGGUAGUGCUGCAGACCUUCUGCAGUGAGACUUCGAUCAGAAGGACUUACCAGACAGGGGCACGGAGGAUUUAGAUAUCCUACUGCAGCUGCCGCUGCUCACCAAGGAGUUGCUCCCGUGCCGCUCGAAGGUCGCCAGCUCGGGGCAGAGCAGGAGCUUAAAGGCCAUGGACACGCCAGACCUGAAGGACGGCAGUGGCAAGGGUGGCGCAGGUGGGCGACGUUGCUCGCGCUCGGGGCGGACGCCGGCGGCGCUCGAUCUUGCCUAGAGCACGGAGGGGACAGGGGAGCAGGGGAAGAGGUAGGCAGUAAACCAGAUAGGAAUGGCACAUGUAUCGCAUCUGCCCUCGGCGGAGCUCCGCUCUGUCGUCAACAUCCGCGACGGACCCCACGAAGCCCAUCAUGUCGGCGUCCUUGAGGAACCGCCCCUGCUUGCCGCGGCCGACCGCAAUUUCGGAGAAAUUGGAGAUGGGGGAUCGUCCGCGGUUCGGCAACGGGUACGGGGAGGAGUCCGGGGCAAAGACUGUUCCGCUCGACCGGCCGGAGGAGCGCAGCCGCUCCGGUGGCCAGAGAUCGAGGGGGUGGCGGCGGUGUCCAACCCCCAACAGGCUGUGUUCUUUUUCUGACGGGACGAAAAAGGGGAAUCCCUUCUCUGGAACCGCUGUCGUUGCUCGACUGUGCUCCAAGCCGCCGCCGCCACCGCCGUCGCCUGAUUGCUCUCUCCCCGUCAACCCCCCCUCUCUCUCGAUCCAGCGACGCGUGUUUAGAUCGAAGCCCCCUGAAUUCCACGACCGAUCUGAUUCUAUCGAUCGAGGCAGCUCUGUUUCGAUUUGUAUAUGUACUUUUUAGGAGGAGUGUCCCGUGUUUGUUUCUGAUAGCCAUCUAUUUGUUUUAUGCUCAACAGGCCCAUUAGCCCUUGAUCUGGCCCAGGGAGUCUAGCGACCCAGGGAGUCUAGCGGGGAAGAGAGCGGGUGCGACCGAUUGGAUGCACACGACGUGGUUGGCCAUCUGAAUUAGUACCACCUUGAAUAUAUUUUAAAAUUAAAAUUGAAAACGUAAAAUCACGGAAAGAAGCGCAUUGUGACGGUGAAUCCGGAGACCCAAUCCAUGCUUUAUUAUUAGGGAGAGAUUACUAAAGAAAUCCGCCUUAAAAGGCGUUCCACUAAAAACGCAGUAGGAUCCUAUUUCAAGUUCCUUGCACUUAAACCGCAAAAGGGAAAGGCAAUUUUCCUAACUUUUCCCGUUAACGCAGAGCAGUCAGAUGAAUAACAGUAGGAUUGUUCAGUUUGUAUGCUCGUCCACUACUUCGGUUUAUUCAGGUUGCAUGAUACAGUAAUUUUGCAAAUGUGUCAGACUAUCUAUUUAGAUUAGCUAAUAGAAUUUAUUUCCACUAUGUGUUGUGCGGAGGAUAGAUCAGCAGGACUAAACAAUAUGUGUCUAACACCAUUUGCACAAUUCCCUUAAACUGCCCGCAGUAGCUGACCAAGUACCACCAAUGUUGUCAUCAGUCUUGAAGGGGAUUCAAAACCCGGUAGGAUCGCACACCGUAUGGCUUGGACAUCGGAAGAAGAUGCAAGAUUGGUAAUGAGAUUACUUGCCUCAGUGCUCAAUUUAUGAUCCUAUUCAUUUGAACUGAUUUACUUGUUUGUCUCAGCUAAUCUAUCCUCAAACGCAGACAACCAUUUGGUCGAAAACCUCAAAUGUUUCCAUCGAGAUAAUAACAAGAAGAACAUCAAGUACUGGGAUGACAUUGUUGUUACAACAAUAGUAAUAGGCCAAGUCACCGGAAGGGAGAUGCUCGUCGUGUAUGAUGGACAUGGUGGCUCGGAGGUGAGGUUAUCUUCUCUUGAAAAUCUUGACCUAGACAAAAGAAAUUAACCUUGAGGCCAUGGGAAGCAGGAAAGCGAAGGUCACGAAUGGCCGCACAAUUUGGUGGUGUUUGUGUGUUGUGCGGUCAAGCCUUUCUACGGGCUCCAUGGUGAUGCAGCAGCAUCACCUUCUUACGGAGAUGAGAUGAUGGGAUGAGGCCGCAUGGUGUUACCUAUUGUUGUUGUGUUAGCUUUGCUGUGUAUGUGUGCGUGUGAGAGAGAUCAGCGGCUGAUUGGGGAUGGUUAUGUUGUUGCUAGAUUAUAAAACAUGUCGUUUAAGUGAAUAUCAACUGUCGGAAAGAAAGCAAUGGUACUGUGAUUCUACUGUUUUAUGCUAGACGUUAAAGAAUACUACUUGCAAGCAGUUAGCGACGAACUGAGGGUUUGCAAGUAGUACUUUUUCCCAGUUGUGCUUCUACUUGCCUGAAUUUAAGUAGGAGAAAUUACCAGUUGUGUUUUUUUGAAAUAAUCUUGAUUUAACUAUGAUUUUCAGAAACUGGUACAGCUUUAACACGGUUCCUUGCUCACUGUGGUACAUUAAAACAAUAAAUUGAGGAGUUUAGAGCCUGCCUAGAGACCUCACAUAGCACCGCCUCAUUUGGCAGCGACAUCAUGAUGAUCUUGUCUGGUCUACUCCAAGUCUCCGCUUGUGGUUUGUGUUGGAAAUAUGAGCAAUUUACCGAAUGAUUUUAUUAACAAAAAUACUAGAUAAAGCAUGACUAAAAUAGGAAAUAUAAAGAAAGUCAUGCAGUCUGACAGAGAGAAGGUAAACAUCGUCUGCAUAAAUGAACUUGAGCUAAACACAUCUAGAACAGACAAUAGAUGAAGUUGCUCAUACGAAACAGAACCUAACAUACGUAGGGCAGAAACUAGAGCCAAGAACUGUAGCAGGACUUCUAACAGAAAGGAGAAGAACACGUACGGCAUAGCAGCAGCAGAAGAGCUGGACUUGGGGUCAGUGUCCUCGCCUGCCAUGUCGUCGAGGAGGUCGUGGACGUCGGGGAAGAAGUCGUCGUCGGGGAAGUAGUCGUCGGCGACCGGAUCGUCUGUGAUGAAGCAGCCAGUAGUCGCGCUGAGCGCUUCCCAAAAACCUUAUCACCCUUCUCCCGUACAUGACUCAAAAGGUGCGGUCUCUGAGGCCUACUGUCCCAACAUGCGGUGCACGCCGCAAGUCGGGAUGAGGAAGACAGCAGCAGCUCAGAGAUGGAACCGAUGGCGAGGGAAGGAGCAGUUCUGGUGCGUAUCUCUGAAAGGAGCGACCUCCCUUUUAUAGGCGCAAGAGAAGGAGGCGAGAGGCUGCGCCGGGAGCUGAAGGGAAUGUGGGAGACGAAACGAACAAGCAGCAGCUGAAGGGGCGCGCCGUUCGGAUUCAGUGUCCAGGCACAGAAAAAAACUGUUUCAGCUUCCGAGUGACCUUUCGUAUACACGUAGUGCGUGGCAAAACUUUAGACAUCGGCUCAUUCCCGCAACCCGCGGCGUGACGAGGCGGGCGGCGGAGGAGGAGCGCGCGUGGAUGUCCCUCUUGUUCUCAUGCUCAUACAAGUGGGGAAGGAGUCUCCCUUAUAAAGAGGUCCAACUCCCUCUAAACUAGCAAGGUGGGACUAAACUUUAGUUCCACCUCUUACCUUGCAUGAAUGGGCUGCGUGGGCCUCUAGGAUUUAUUAGGAAUUUCUGAAACUGCUAUUGGGCUAGGCCCAAAUAGACAAAAAUUCCAGCAGUUUGUGUUCUUUAGGUCUAUGGAAAACACCACGGUGCAUGCCAUUGUCCGUCAUUUCGGGAAAAAUGACCUAGAACAUGCAGAUAACUAAAUUUGGUGAAAGAACUGAAGAAAUCUACUACAUCACAAUAUGAAUUAAAAACAAACAAAAAAUUGGGCAGGACCUCUACAUAAAAAUGGACAGUUAUAGAAAUUUAGCGAAACGGAAAUAAAUCAACGGUUUGCCAAAAAUUUAACGCUUAUAGUAUGAAUCCCAAUAAGGAAAUGAAGACAUCUACUACAUCACAAUAUGAAUAAAACAUAAACAAAGAAAUUUGGCAUGACCUCUGCAUAAAAAUGGACAUAUUAAGUGAUUGAGAUCUGGCGAAACAGAAAUAAAUCAACGUAUCGCCAAAACUUUAGCACUUAUAGUAAGUAUACCUAUAAUGAAUUGAAGACAUCUACUACAACAUAUUAUUUAACUCAGUAUGAACAGAAAUAAUGUACGGAAUAAUACAAUAUAUAUGUGAGACUAUAUAAUUACCUCUAAUAUGAACAAAUUGGUAUUCCUUGUUCAUGGUUACGUAUGUGGCUGCUGCAACUAUAAUUGUUUUGAUGUGUGUGCCUUAAAAACUAUAGAACAAGAAACUACAACUAUAAAUGAACUCUAGUAUGAACAAAUCGAACUCAUUAACGAAUAUGAACACAUUAAUAGCAAUAACCCUAACCCUAGUCGAACGUACGUGUGCGUGUGCGUGGCGGCCGUGGCCGUGGGUGACAAGGAGGAAAGCCGGAGAGGGAGGCGCGGACGACAAUGUAUUACUGGAUGGAGCGGAGGGUGACGGGGCGGAUCGUCGGUGAGGGCGACGGGGCGGCGAAUCGAGGGCGAGGGAGACGCGCGGUGAACGGCUAGGGCGGCGACGAGUAAGCGGUGCUGAUGGCGGCAGCGGACAGGGACGACGACUUGGGUAGCAUGGAUGAGCCAACGGCGUCCGCGACGAGAUGGGGAAGAGUGGGAGUGAGAGAGUAAAUUGGGGUAGGAGGAGAGGGGGCACGUGCGUGUACGUAGGUCGAUUGAGUUUGUCGUAUGCGACCGGUGUGCCAAGCCUCCCAACACGGCUUCUUUGGGGUGGUGGGCGGAAAACCGAUUCGAUUUGGGGCAGAAUAGACAGCUAACUUAGUUGUGGCGGGUAGGGGCCCAUACCCGCCAGAGCUAAUAUCUGUAUAAAAUUUAUUUUUCUGGCGUGCAUUGCUGGCACUAAACUGUGGCCGGCCCAAUCGAGCGUCCGCCACUUUUGCAUUCAAGAACAAUGGCGGCCGAGGCUAACACCCGCCACUGAUCGCAUUCAUCAGGUGGCCAUACUCAGUGGUGCUUACUUGUGGCGGGUGGUGUUCUCCACCCGCCACUGCUACGCAUGUAACUCUGGAGGUCAUGUUGUGGCACCUGCCACUGGUACUUUUGCUAACUAGCAGUGGCAGGUGCUAUGUCCCGCCCGCCAAUCUUUCGAAUUCACCUAUAAGCCCUUUCCCAGUAGAGUAAUAAAGGACUUCUUGACAAGUCCGUGUAGAUUAAAGGUAUGUUAGUAGAUGGUGUAAUAAAUACAUGCUUUAGUGAUCUAAGGAUACAAAUAUGCCACUAUUUAUUUUGUAAAAGGUCGAAAUCAUUCUUAGAAAUCUUAGUAACAACAGUUCUCAUGAACAACUUUGACAAAAUGCAUCAAAUGUUACAAAUAAUACAUACAAACUUAGUUCAAUAAAUUAAUCAAUUGAAGUGAGAACAAACCUAAAUGUACUUAGAGUAAAUCAAUUAAUACGUGUAAAGCCAAUACUAAUCCAAUAUUUAUUAAUAAAUUUGCAUAGAAUUACAACCCUUUGACAUAGAAAGGGAAUAUGAUGAGUCAUGUAUAGAUAACUUGCACAACAUUCCUACCCUUGGCAUAAAAGGAGAAAUUGAUGAGUCAUGUAUUGAUAAUGUGCACAACAUCACUACCCUUGACAUAAAAGGAGAAUUUGAUGAGUCAUGUGUUGAUAACGUGUACAACAUUACUAUCAGUAUGUUCAACUUACCAUCAUAUUAUACAACACUACAAGUUAGUUUUAAAAAGAACAAGAGUCCAGAACGAAGAUCAGAAUACUUGCUUGAUCUAUCUUAACAACAUGCACUAGGACAAAAAUUUAGUCCCACGCAAGCUAUGAAGAUUUGUUUUAUGUAUAACUAUUUGUACAACAUGACAAACUUAGAUCCAAAAGGAAUGCAAUCCAGAUAAUUGUUUGACAUGUAAAGUGAAUAAGAUGAGUCAAUGCCAAUUAUCAAGUUUUCCUCACUCUUAGAUGAUAUGUACAAUAAAAAGACAACUUUGAUGAUCACUCUGAAAUUACGUUUGUAUGUAGUGCCACCAAACACAACAUCCCAAAUAUUAGUUUGAUAAGCAUCAAAUCACUUUUGAAAAAAGAAAGCAAUAAUGAAAAGAAACCUAACCAAGAUAGCUAUAAAAAGGCCUGCAAUAUGUAGACUCCAUACCAUCAUCCAUCCUUCACACACCUAGAGCACAAAUCAGCAAAUCCAAGUACGUAGUAGUUAACGCAAAUCGACCAUGAAGACCUUACUCAUCCUGACGAUCCUUGCGAUGGCAAUAACCAUCAGCACCGCCAAUAUGCAGGUCGACCCUAGUGGCCAAGUACAAUGGCCACAACAACAACUAGUCCCCCAACCCCAACAGCCAUUAUCCCAGCAACCGCAACAAGCAUUUCCCCAACCCCAACAAACAUUUCCCCAUCAACCACAACAACAAGUUCCCCAGCCUCAGCAACCACAACAACCAUUUCUCCAGCCCCAACAAGCAUUCCCCCAACAACCACAACAACCAUUCCCUCAGACUCAACAACCACAACAACCAUUUCCCCAGCAACCACAACAACCAUUUCCCCAGCAAUCACAACAACCAUUCCCCCAGACUCAACAACCACAACAACCAUUUCCCCAGCAACCACAACAACCAUUCCCCCAGACUCAACAACCACAACAACCAUUUCCCCAGUUCCAGCAACCACACCAACCUUUUCCCCAGCCCCAACAACAAUUCCCGCAGCCCCAACAACCGCAACAAUCAUUCCCCCAGCAACAACGACCGUUCAUUCAGCCAUCUCUACAACAACGUUUGAACCCAUGCAAGAAUAUCCUCUUGCAACAAUGCAAACCUGCGUCAUUGGUGUCAUCCCUCUGGUCGAUAAUCUGGCCACAAAGCGAUUGCCAAGUGAUGCAGCAACAAUGCUGCCAAGAACUAGCACAGAUUCCUCAGCAGCUCCAGUGCGCAGCCAUCCAUAGCGUCGUGCAUUCCAUCAUCGUGCAGCAGCAGCAACAACAACAACAACAACAACAACAACAACAAGGCAUGCAUAUCCUGCUGCCACUAUCUCAACAACAACAGUUGGGUCAAGGUACUCUCGUCCAAGGCCAGGGCAUCAUCCAACCUCAGCAACUAGCUCAAUUGGAGGCGAUCAGGUCAUUGGUGUUGCAAACUCUUCCAACCAUGUGCAACGUGUAUGUCCCACCUGAGUGCUCCAUCAUCAGGGCACCAUUUGCCAGCAUCAGGGCAUCAUCAGGGCACCAUUUGCCAGCAUAGUCGCGGGGAUUGGUGGCCAAUGAAAAAAGCAAGAUCUAUACUAAUAGAUAGAUGGAUCAUCGUUACUUAGCAGAUGCACCAAUCGAUGUAACGAUGACAAAUAAAGUGGCGUGCACCAUCAUGUGUGACCCCGACCAGUGCUAGUUCAAGCUUGGGAAUAAAAGACAAACAGAGUUCUUGUUUGCCAGCAUUGCUUGUCAUUGUUCCAUUCACCAUGUAUUUAGAUGUUCAUCCCUAACCGCAGUUCUAGGCUUACACAUCAACAGCUAGUUGCUUGUGCCGGCAGGUUCCUAUGUAAUCUACCGAUUAAUGGUUGACCUAUUAAUCCAGUUUAUAGGCCGAUUGAUCUAUUAAUUGCUGCUCCCAAACUGACCGACCAGCUAUCAGUUACCAUUUUGCUGAACAUUGCACACAGUAAUAACUCAACGUAUUUUAAUGUCUAGAAGUAAAAGGGCCAUUUUAGCAGCAAAACAAGCGCCUGAUUAGGAACCAUCCAUCACUUUAAAUGUUCACCAAGAUAUUUUUGCGUUGGUGCAAUUUUGAGAUUGGUGGCACCGAAACAUUCCUCAAAGCAAUUCUUUAUGGGACUCCAAAGAGGUGAAAAUAAAGUAAAGUUGCCACAUGGUAAAAUAUAAAUCAUGCGGCGAGCAAGAGAAAAUAUUGAGUUACGAUAGCAAGCGCCAAACAUGCCAUUAAACUCUUCAUAUGGUUUCGUGCAGAGAGGGGGGAUUUAGAGAUGACAAACAAAGCUUAAGUAGCAUCGGUUCUGAUUGUAGAAAUUUCUUUUACCUAUAGAAUAACUCGGUUGUUAUUUCUUUAACAAUGUAGUGUGAUAUUAACUUAUCUCAAUCUAGGAACACAAAGCAAAUAUUACAUGUGCUUCUAUGGAUUCCAAGCAGAUGAGAAAUCAUAUUGUGUAGAAGUUCAUUAGAAGGAUAUAAUAGUUUUGACCUAAACAAAUUUACUAUUGUACUCGUGUCUUAGAAAAUUAAAGCUGAAAAUCAACAUAACCAUUGGACACUUCGAAAGACAAGUGUGGGAAAUAAAUAGUAGGAUGUAAAUUUGAGUAGAGUGUUUGAUCAAAUAUUGAACAAAUAACCCACAAACUACUAAAACUCAUCUAUUAAUUCUACCAUAUAUGAACUGUCACAAUGAUAAAGCUAUGAUUUUUUUGACAAAUAUGUAUCCUAGAACUAAUACAAGUUCAAACAAAUCAGCCACAGAUCCCCGAGCCCAUCCAACCAGAUAGCUGAAACUGAAAGAAGCAUUAGCUUGAUUAGAGCACCUACAGCCUAACUUGACAAAUUUGACCCCAGAAACGCUCGCGGACGCGCCCGGUAGUAACCGGUCACGCCUAAAAUAUUUCAUUCUACAACCAGAUACCUCAAAUUAGAAACCUCAAAUCCAUAUUAUUACAUGCAACAUAAAUCGAUCUUUAAGCAGAGCACGUCCGGUGAUCGAAUGCUCUCCGGAGUGUUGGUCCAGUCACCGGCAAGUUAGAGUAGGGCAUGGGAUACGAGGCGGGUCACGGGACUCGAGGCGCCACCGUCCCCCAUUCCCAACUCUUCUCCAUCGGAACCAGGACGGUGCCGGUGGACGUCAGAUCGAUGAUGGAUCCUUCCUGGGAUGAGCCAUCAACAUCGACCACCACGUGGUUGCGGUGCCCGGACUAGUGCACAAUAUGGGGAGCCGAAAAAUACGACUUUGCCUUCGCAACGACCACCACCGCGAGGGCUGUCGCCGCCUCCCGCACCCGCUGCCUUGCAUGGCAGGAGCGCCGAACUAUGUUUUGCGUCGGGCGGUGCCCAUGGUGUGUCCAUGGCCUCAGCACGCCAAUGGAGGGGCUGUGCGUCUGCCACCCAUUUGAACGCUAGAUGGACCGCACCACCUCUGGUGAGGCAGUGAUGGUACACCUAGCGCCGGAUCCAUGCAUCAUUUGGGCGGACGCAUUGGAUUCCCCGCGGAAGGAGUUCGAGCAUUGCCGUUGCCAUCGGGCAGCCUCCUCCUGAGACCGGCGGAGCGCAAGCUCGAUUGCCAUCUCCUCCUAGGAGCCGCGUGGGAUGAGUUCGGGGUCGACGGAUCUGGAGGUAUAACACUGGGAUCCGCCGCCUGCCAUGCCGAAGAAGGCCAUAAGAUCGUCGGACGGGGGCGGCAGGGAGUGAAGUGAAGUGGCUAGGGUUUGGUCCGGCAAGCGGAUGGGGAGGAAUAUAUGUGGGGUCGGGUGGGCCAGCGUGGAUCGGGACCGACAUGGCGGACGCGCGUGGGCGCCCCAUAUUCUUCCCAGAUUUCGGCUGGAUAUGAGGGGUGUUGGUCAGCUUGGGCGUUGAGGCCCGUCUAGGUCAUUUUUCUGUGACCUGGCCGUCCGCCGGGGUGUUUGAAGUGGGUUUGGGACACCCGGGUGUAAAUGCUCUUAGACCAUGUAGUACCUUGAGGAGGAUGGUGUGGGUCCAUGAAAGAACUACAGCCUUUCCAUUAUGUUCGGGCGCAGGGCGAUAACGAAGUUAUCUUUACUCCUACAAGGGGAGUUGUUAGUCUCCGUUCCAUGGGUUUUUUUGUCUCACCUCCCAUCUUCGUUUCAUUUUUUCCGUCUCUCUUUCACACCGUCGGGUGGAGCUUAUGUGUCAUACUCCGUGACCUUUCAUUAGUUUUCUAGAGAGAAUCCUACUCUCAUAGAUUGCGACGUUUAACAAUCAGACUCAUAUAGGUGUGUUCUUCAAAAGAUGUUCUGCAGGACAACAUCUCUCCUUCAAAAAGCCACUUAGAACACAUUAAGAUAUACAUCAACCUACCAUGCAGAUUAGGAGAGUAUUGCAUCUUCAUGGAGUGGUAUUUUAACAAUAAGGAUACACUACUAGGGAAAAGGCUAGCAGCAGCGCGGGUUUUUGGUGUAUCAGUAGCGCGGGGUGGGGCGCUACUAAUAAGGCGCUACAGCUAACAUAUAGCAGUAGCGCGUGGUCACCGGCGCUACUGCUACACAAGUGUAGCAGCAGCGCGGUUACUGGGAGCACGCUACUGCUAGUAGCUCUAGCGCCCUUUGCAGCAACGCGCUACUGCUAUAGAGGCGCUGCUGCUAACUUCUAUACACUCGCUACUGCUAAUUUAACAGGUUUUUUGUUUUUUUGGGCAUAUUUGUUUUGUAUUUGAACAGGCUUUAUAGAAGAAUCUUUAGCACAUAGAAAUGUCAUCAUGAUACACAUACAAAUGCCUGCGAGACCACGAAUAUAAUCAUAGCAUAUACAUACAAAUAGUCUCAUCAUAAUCAUCAUCCAACACAAAGUGGUCUCUCGUCAUCAUCUCGAAAAUAGCGAUACAAGUCCUUGAUUACUUGCAAAUACAUUGUCAUCCAUCUAAACAAUGGUAUACGCGAGAAGAGCUAUCACUUUGAGAACAUGAGUUCGUAUCCCUCUCUCGCAUUAGCGUGAACCUAAACUAACUACUGCCUGUCGCUCGGAAACCGGAAACCGGCAACACCUGGGUCUGACACUCCGGUCACUCAUCGUAUAUAUACUCCUGGCGUAGCACUUCUUCGCCAUCGAUGAUCUAUGCACCUGCAUCAUCACAUGAGUAGAUGAUAUGCAACAUAUAUAGUUGAGCAACAGAAAGAGACAGACUUGACAAAAAUAGAAACAACGUAUCAUAAGCAUAAAUAACAAAGUUCAUCAUAACCAAAAUGCCCUAACUAGAGUGAUCUUCGCUAGUCGAGGAGGAGGACGGUUUAAUUACAUCACAAAUAAAGUUUUACUGCGCAUAACUCAAAGUUUUGUCAUACAGAAAGUAUGGAGUAAACAGACACAUUGUCAUAUAUUGACAAUCACUCCAACAUGCCGUGCCAUCCAUCGAGGUCAGGGAGAUAGUCCCCGAGCUUAGUGAAAGGCUUCAUGUCGAGACGCUGAGAGGCUAUCCAUGUUCGGACGUCUUCCCACAACAUUUUUCCUCCGUAGAACAUCCCUGUUUUUCCGACGACCUCUUUCAUGAUGAUUUGGGCAAGUUCGCGUUGGAUGUUAUAGAACUCAGCUCGAAGUCGAUGAUCCUCGAUAUCUCCUAUGUCCUUUGCCCAUUGCAGAAUAUGGGCAUCGCCAGAUCUAGGUGACAUGUGAAGGUUCUGGUGAUCCCGUUUGUACUCCCGCAUGUGGUGUAGGACAUAGAAUCCACCAUUAAGAGAAUCGUUCGGUUGUUGGAUGCAGCAGAAGUCGGUCUUAUGGCUGAAGGCGGCCCUGCCGCCCCUUCUCUUCUUGUCCCUAACCUCUCCACCCCUUGCUUGGUAGUAAAACAUAGCACUGUCGAGAACAUCUUUGAUGUGGGUGUAAUCCUUUUUGUGAAUGUUAUUCGAUGAGUCCAAGUAAAGAGCAUGGGAGAAUCGGGGGUAGAGGAUGAUGAGGACGGCGCGCCCGCCGCUGCGCAAAAUAAGUACACCUCAAAUUAAUUAGCCUUCACCGUGCAAAUGAAUUAUUGAAAUCGAAGGAAGGAUAGCAGCGCGGAUGACUUACACGGGAUGAUAAGGCACGAGAAUCGCCUCCUUGUCCUUAUUGGCGAGCAUGAAACUAACGAUGUAAUUCCUCGCGUAUUCACGCUGCUCUGCACAGACUCCCAAGAAGCUCUCGUGCAUGUAGUACGGGUCAGUGACACAGAUAUGACGUAUCUGCUCAACCCCAAUGAUGUAGUUCAUGUGCAAGGCAUAAAGGCGGACAAAUGUAAAAUCCAGCUUCUUCACGUGAAACAUGUCGAAUAUGUAAUCGAAUCGGAGGAAGAACUUAUCCGCAGCGAAGCUGUCGACGUAUGACAUUUUCCGCGGAACGUUAUCCACGUAGAGUGGGUAUCCUGGAUCUUUCGAGGCAAUGAGGCAUUUCUCUACCCGUAGCACAUCAUCAUGAAGUCUCCUUAGAUCGCCGAAUCUGGCCCGUAGCGCUGUUGCAGGUAGGAUUGGUUGACCGGGGAUAUGCCAUUUAUCCGCAUCGGGGAUAUCUAGACGGUCCUGAAGCUGAGGCUGCUGAGGCGGCUGGAUCAUAGAAUCAACUUUUUUUCCUUUCCUCGCUCUCUUCCUAGACUUCUUUACUACCGGAAAGUCGUCAAUAACACAUUGAGACGGUAAUUCAGGCACCGACUCAUGAUGCUCAAACCCUGAGGAGGCGCCAGUAUAGACAUACUGUUCAGCGCCAUCGUCAUCCUCAUCCUCAUCCAUGGCGACGUCAUCAGCGACUAAUGGAGCCUCCUCCUUACCCCGUCCGCUAUCACCCAACCCGACACCCAACGCUAAUUGGGUAGGUGGGGUGUUGAUGUUCAUACCUUGCUGAGACUGCGUGCUCGUGGGUGUGCUCCCGGCCGCCUCCAGACGAAGCAGACUCUUUGGCCACAACAGGACCUACCCAUUGCAACAAUCACCAAGCCGCUGCGGUGUCUCCUCGUCAUCCACCAAUAGUGUUGGAGGAGGCAAAUUCUCGUGGCCCGGUUCGACACUGGCCAUGGAAACCUUGAAGACGUUUGGGGGAAUCGGCCGGCUGUGGAACAAUGGUUCCUUCGGCUUCAUUAUCGUCGCCUUCCCCAUGGCCACCUUCUGGUCCCCGAUGGUGUACAAUAUGGUGCGCGGGGUUUCGUCGGCCUGCAAAGAGAAGUCUGCGACGUGAGACAUUCGAAAGGCAACGAAAACGGGAGAUUAUACAUUUAUAUUGAAGGGGGCCGGUGUGACAGAUACCGUGAGGGCGUCGAGCUCAGCCAAAGACAAAGCACCGCCGAGCACGUCCGGUGCGGGAGCCGGUGCGGGAGCAGGUGCUCCCAAGAAGUCAGCAAGGGGAAAGUCCUCUGCAUUUUUUUCUGGAUUUUUCCUUGUCCAAGUGAUAACGCCCGUCACCAAGGAAGUAGACAAAUCUGCAACCGCCUGUUUUGCGGCAGCUACCGCUGUUGCGACUGUCUGAGAUGAUUUCUUCUCAACCGCAAUCUCAACCUUCUUGUCGAUGUUUUUUUCAGUUAACCUCCGUCUUUCCUUUCUCUCCUCUGUGGUCUCCCGGUAGUACUUCUUCCACGUGGCGCCGUCUCCGACACCGUGCACGCGUCCAUACGAUGGUCGAGUAUCCAUCGGUUGUCGUUUCAAUAUGUUCAACGUCCGGUUGAAUGGAGUGUCCCACUUGGGCCUCGCCAAUGCCUCAGACGGCGAGUCGUUUUCGACCGCAAUCCGGUGCUGCUCUCUCUGCAAAAGGCACAAGGAUCGUUUACAAAUAUGACUAACGUGUGCAGUCGAAUUGAUCAGAAACUAAAAUUACCAGCAGUCUCAUGAACUCCGUAAUGACCGGUGUUGUCUCAUAAACCUUCUUCACUGGGUCCCAACGGUGCCGAGCCCUCAGGACGUCACGCUCCUGCGGGACAGUGAAAUCCGCCAAGGGGUCUGGGAUGCCCAGACUCGCGGCUUCCGCGUCCUCCUUGGCCCAUUUGGACCUCUUUCCGCCGUAACCACGCUUCCGAGGUGGUGGCUCCCAAUGUUCCUCUUUUGAAGCCCCUUCAUGUACUUAGACUUUUUUUGGCAGCUUCGGCCUCGCAAGCCUCCUUGAAUAUUUGAAACUGCUCUUCCGUGAUUGUCAGAUUAUCCUUUACAAUCUCGGAGUAGGGUUCCCCGUCGUUGAUCUUUGCUUUCACUCAAUUUUUCCAGGCGGCCAACGCGUCGCUAAACUUGGUCAUGGCGUGUUUGUUUAUCUUCUUCAUUGCGGGGUCCUCGUCUGGAUCUUCAUAAUCCUUCUCAUUCCGGCCCGGGAACAAGAAUAUCUGGUGAAACUUCUUUAGAAGGGAGCUCCUCAUAUUUUCUAUCUUCUAUAGUUUCUCAUCAUUGAUGGUGGCGGUUGUCCGUAUGAUGCAGCCUAUUUGAUUGCCGUAGCACGCGCGCGCUUCCUCGGGCGCCUUUGGCUCAAAAUUGCCGUCGUCCACCUCUGUGACCACCAGUCUAGUAGUCCUGAGUUUGUUAGGAACCCGUUGCUUCUUUGCGUUCGGUUCUACACCAGCUCCGCUCCCCGAGACAGCACCGGUCUCAGCGCCGCUCUCGAUGCCGGUCUGAAUCUCAGCGCCGGUCUCAGUCUCAGCACCGGUCUGCGUGUCGGUCUCAGUCCCCGAUGCCACUGGUGGGCCCAGCAACAACAUCGGUUGAUCGUCGGUAAGGCUAAAAUAUUCAUCUGCCACCAGGUAGACGUCGUCGCAAUCACCAGAACCCUGUCCUUCAUCGUUGCUAGCCAUGUUUCCUAUCAUUAAAUCUAGUCAAUUAAUUCUAGACCUAAUAAAAUGAAUAAUGACAUAAAAAAGGACUAUUGUUUUGCAGGAAUGUUGACUCCUUCCUGGUGCGGAAAAUCCCGGCACUCGAUAUGUCCUAGUUUGUAGCACAAGUCAUGCCGAAAUUCACGGAAAAUUUUGGCAUGGCCUUUGCUAAAAAGUGGACAAAUCGAGAACCUGAAAUUUGUCGGAACAGAAAUGAAUCAACAUUCCGGCAAAACAUAGGCCACUCAGCAUCAUUCCCUGGAAACAACAAAGCCACUUGGGCACAAUCGAACAACUUCAAUGAAAAGAUAUAACAUGAGCAAACACUAUUGAGGAAUUUGCAUAUAACAUGGCCACUUCAAUGAAAAGAUAUAAUCAACAAUAACGGAAUAUGCAAAUGAACAUCAAUGACAUAUAGCUACUGUUCUGUUUGACCAAGUUUUUGAAAAGAAAAACAAUUCUGUUUUUUGUUUAUAGCUAAAUGCCAUAGCUACUAUUUUUUAUUUAUAGCUAAAUACUUUUGUUUUUUGUCUAAAGCUAAAAGUCUAGGAACUACAUUUUCUCUAACCCUUUUGACCUCACCAGAAUUUUCACAGCAAGACCUUAGUACCUACACCCAAUUUCUUCAAAAAUAUUCAGGUCCAUAGUCCAAAUAAUUCAAAUUUCAUUUGAAUGAAAUUUGGAACAAAUUCAGGUCCGUAGUCAAAAUAUUUUUUUAUAGCUAAGUGUUUUUUGUUUAUACCCUCUGUUAAUUUAAAUCUAAAUGCUACUAUUAUUUAUAUACCCUCUAUUAGUUUAAAGCUAAAUGGAAUUACUGUUUAGGAAUUUUCAUAAAAAUUGCCCUAGCUAAUUUCCUAAAAAAAUUGCAAAUCAUUUUUCCUAAAUGCUAUAAAAUGCCUACUGCCCUAAAAAAAUCUAGGGUUCAUAUGAACACCUAGGGUUCAUAUGAACAUCAACACAGUAUCAACAUAUAUAUAUAUAAUUGCCCUAGCAGAGAGAAAUAGGAGGGUAGGGACAGGAGAGGCAUAGCCUUACGGUCGGCGUUGAGGGCAGGCUCUGGCUCGGGCAGCGGCGGUGAGGUCAAGGGCGGCGGCGGCGAGCUCGAGGGAGGCGACAGUGAGGUCGACGGUGACAGCCUCGGGUGGCGGCUGUGAGGUCGAGGGGGCGGCCUCGGGCGGCGGCCUCGGGCGGCGGCAGUGUGGUCAAAGGCGGCGGGCGGCGGCGGUGUGGUCGAAGGCGGCCUCCGGCGGUGGCGGUGUGGUCGAAGGCGCGCGGCAGGGCAACGGCGGCGAUGAAGCAGUUGGGGGACAGGGGGGAGUAGAGAGGGGGGAAAGGACUUAGCAAAAUUUUGAGCCAGGGCCGCCGGGAUUUGAGUCAAACUAGCAGCAGCGCGUUUUGACGAAACGCGCUAUAGCUAAGAUAGCUAUAGCGUGUUCCAGAGAAAUGCGCUACAGCUAACCCUUUCUGUUUUCUUUCUCUUUUUAUUUUGUUUUCUUUACAUUUUCUUUUUUUCAUUUCUCCUUUUUCUAUUUCUUUCAUUUUCAUUUACUUUUCUACUUAAUUUUCUAUUUAUUUUCCUUUACAUAGCAGUAGCGCUGUAAAGAAGAAACGCGCUGCUACAAUGUUUUUAACAGUAGCGUGCUUCUGGGAGAAGCGCUGCUACUAUUCCUAGCCUACCGGCACCAGUGAGAGAAUUUUAGUAGUAGCGCUUUUUUGUGGAGAAGCGCUACUACUAAAAUAAUGAUUGUAGCGUGGUUUUGCAACAAGCGCUACUACUAAGUAGCGCUAGCGCCGAGUUUUGACCAACGCUACUGCUAUACCUCUGUGUAUAGCAUUUUCCCUAGUAGUGAUACUCUCCUCUCAGUUGACCAACAGCUUGUCUUCCACAUCUAAUUCACGGGAUCUCCGAUCACAAAGAAUGGGUUACCACUGUGGACACCUCAUAUUGUGGGUCUCAUUCCCAUCUCCAUCGAUGCAUUAUCUAUCACAUUACGUGAUAGACCCUUAGUAAAAGGAUCUGCCAGAUUUUUAGACGUUUGGAUAUAAUCCAAUGCAAUAACUCUCGAGUUUUUCAUUUUUCUGACAGACUUUAACCUUCUCUGAACGUGUCUUGAUGACUUCAUGUUAUCCUUUGAGCUGCUCACUUUAGUGAUCACAGUUUGAUUGUCACAGUUCAUCCGGAUACCCGGUACAGGUUUCUCAACUACCGGUAAGUCAUUCAAGAGCCGACGAAGCCAAUCUGCUUCGACCGUAGUUGUAUCUAGUGCUGUGAGUUCUGCUUCCAUUGUUGACCUCGUUAAAAUGGUCUGCUUGCAAGACUUCCAAGAAACAGCGCCACCUCCAUGAGUGAAUACAUAACCGCUCGUGGCCUUUAUCUCAUCAACAUCUGAGAUCCAGUCUGAGUCAAUAUACCCUUCAAGCACCUUUGGAUGCCUAGUGUAGUGAAUUCCAUAAUUUGCAGUGCUUUCAAAUAACGCAAAACUCUCUCUAGAGCUUUCCAAUGCACAUCUCCUGGUUUUGAGACAAACCGGCUCAGUUAGCUAACAGCAAAAGAGAUGUCAGGUCUCGUAGCACUGGCUAAGUACAUAAGCGAGCCAAUAAUGUGUGAAUAUUCCAAUUGGUCUCUAGCAAUUCUUCGAUUCUUUCGAAGCAACACACUAGCAUCAUAUGGUCUUGGAGAGGGCUUGCAGUCACUGUAGCCAAAGCGACUCAAGAUCUUUUCCCCAUAGUGAGACGGAAGCAAUGUAAUCCCACCAUCAUCAUCUCUCAACAACUUGAUGUUCAGAAUGACGUCAGCCACUCCUAAAUCCUUCUUCUCAAAACAGCGAGAUAGGAAAUCCUUGACCUCCUUAAGAACAUUUAGAUUUGUUCCGAAAAUCAGUAUGUCAUCAACAUACAAGCAAAGCAUAACUCCCUCGCCCCCACCAUGGCGAUAGUACACACAUUUGUUAGCUUCGUUCACAACAAAGCCUGCAGCUGUUAAAGUUCUUUCGAACUUCUCAUGCCACUGUUUGGGUGCUUGCUUGAGUCCAUACAAAGACUUCAGCAACUUGCACACUUUCCCUUCCUAACCAUCUAUUACAAACCCAUCUGGUUGUUCCAUAUAAAUUUCCUCAUCCAACUCUCCAUUUAGGAAAGCAGUCUUAACAUCCAUUUGAUGAACGAGAAGACCAUGUGAGGCAGCUAGUGAAAGUUUAACUCGAAUAGUGGUCAGUCGAGCCACAGGUGAGUAAGUAUCAAAGAAGUCUUCACCUUCCUUUUAGGUAUAACCCUUUGCCACGAGCUGAGCCUUGUACUUUUCAAUAGUACCAUCAGGCCUAAGUUUCUUCUUGAAUACCCAUUUGCAUCCUAUAGGUUUGCACCAUAAGGACGAUCAGUUAUCUCCCAAGUUUCAUCCGCCAAGAUGGAAUCCAUCUCGCUACGAACCGCUUCCUUCCAGUAGUCAGCAUCUUCCGAUGCAUAGGCCUCCAAAAUAGAACUGGGAGUGUCAUCUAUGAGAUACACAAGAAAAUCAUCACCCAAGGACUUUGCUGUCCUCUGUCUCUUACUCCUAGUAGGAACUUCAUUGUUCUCCUCCACAGGCCUUUCAAAGUGUUCCAUCGAAAUGGCAGGUUCAGUAAUUGUAACUGGUUCCUGAUUCGAUGAACUAGGCAUCUCCUGAUUAGAUGAGGUAGCCAUAUCCUUCAUGGGAAAGAUAUCUUCAAAGAAAGUCGCAUCAUUCGACUCCAUGAUCGUACUGACAUGCAUGUCAGAUACCUCAGAUUUUACAACCAAGAAUAUAUAGCCAAUGCUAUGAAAAGCAUAUCCCAGGAAAACACAAUCCACAGUCUUUGGUCCAAGCUUCCGCUUCUUUGGAAUUGGAACAUUGACUUUCGCCAAGCAACCCCAUGUUCGCAGAUAAGAGAGUCUUAACCUUUUCUUCUCCCAUUCCUCGAAUGGAGUUAUCUCUUUGUUCUUUGUGGGAACUCGAUUUAGGACAUGACAUGCUGUCAAUAUCGUCUCCCCCCACCAUGCCUUGGAGAGACCCGAUGUGCAUAACAUGGCGUUAACGAAAUCAGUUAGAGUACGGUUCUUUCUUUCGGCCACCCCAUUUGACUGAGGUGAGUAGGGAGGCGUCCUCUCAUGGAUUAUACCAUGUUCCGCACAAAAAGCAUCAAAUUCAUUGGAAAAAUACUCUCCACCACGGUCAGACCUAAGCCUCUUGAUUUUUCGAUCAAGUUGGUUUUCCACUUCAGCUUUAUAGAUCUUGAAAAAGUUCAAAGCCUCAUCCUUAGAUUUCAGAAGAUACACAUGGCAGUAUCUAGUGGAGUCGUCAAUUAACGUCAUGAAAUAUUUCUUUCCACCUUUUGUCAAAACACCAUUCAUUUCACAUAGAUCUGAAUGUAUAAGUUCUAGUGGUGCAAGAUUUCUCGUCUCCGCAGUCACGUGAGACUUACGAGGUUGCUUAGCUUGCACACACACUUGACACUUAGAUCCUUGACAGUGGUGAAACUAGGGAUUAAGUUCAACUUCGCUAGUCGCGACAUGCAACCAAAGUUAACAUGACAAAGACGUGAAUGCCACACAUUUGAUUCACUAUUGUUGCAAAUAUGAUUAACAACUUUAUUGCAAAUGUCUGAUAAGGAUAAACGAAACAGGCCUCCUGACUCAUAGCCUUUACCAACAAAGGUCCCAUACUUGGAUAUUACAAAUUUAUUCGACUCAAAGACAAGCUUAUAGCCAUCUCUACACAGAAGAGAUCCGCUAACAAGAUUUUUAUUGACGGAGGGGACAUAAUGCACGUUCUUCAGCCGCACGAUCUUCCCUGAAGUAAACUUCAGAUCAACCAUGCCAACACCACGAACAGAAGCACUUGAACUGUUGCCCAUCAGCACGGUUGAAGUCCCUGCGGUCUGAUAAGAUGAAAACAUGGAAAUAUCACCGUAUACAUGCACAUUAGCACCCAUGUCAAUCAACCAACCAGGAGAAUGACAUACUGAAAGAAUAGUGGGAAAUAUACCAUACCCAACAUCUUUCAUGUCAAUGUCUCCGAUGACAACAUUAGCGGUCUUGCCGCCUUUCCCAGGAUGACGCUUGUCAUAGCGAUUAGGACAACUAGGAGCCCAAUGAUCAGGAUCUCCAAACACAUGACAAGCACCUUUCUUAUUGUCAUUCUUCUUCUUGAAGUUCAUGUGCUGCACAGCCUUGUUCUUCCCAUCGAACUUUGCUUUACCAUCAAACUUGCCCUUGUUCUUGAACUUGUGGGACUGGAAGUUCUUCUUCUGUACCAGAUUGGCACUAGAUCCUCCCUCAAUACCUCGAGCACAUGUGUCCUUUGCUCUCGCCUUUUCUUCCACAUAAGAGUACCAAUGAGAUCCGGGAUGGAAAACUCCUGUCUCUUAUGCUUCAGUGAGGUAGCAAAGUUCCUCCAUGAAGGAGGAAGCUUAGUGAUGAUACCCCCGGCAACAAACUUGUCCGGUAAGAUACAAUUGAAGUGCUCAAGUUCUCUAGCAAAAGACUGUAUCUCAUGAGCCUGCUCAACCACGGAGCGCUCUUCAGUCAUCCUGUAAUCAUAGAAUUAUUCCAUGAUGUACAGCUCAGUGCCGGCAUCCGAGACCCCAAACUUGGCCUCGAGUGUGUCCCACAUAUCUUUUCAUUGUCAAUUGACGCAUAAGCAUCAACUAUGUUCUCACCAAGAACACUCAAAAGAGCAGCCUUAAACAAGGUAUCCAUUUUCUGGAAAGCUUGUGCCUGUUGGGCAUCUUGCUCUCCUUCGGGUUUGCCAAGAGUGGCAUCAUAGAAACUCAUGGUUUGAAACCAUAAGACUGCUCUCACACGCCACUUCUUAUAGUGGAUACCCUCAAACAUAGGAGGUCUCAUGGAAGCAGCAAAAUCACUCGGGGUAAAUUGCCUAUAAUAAGGUUUUUGGAUUGUUGGAAAUAUGAGCAAUUUACCGAAUGAUUUUAUUAACAAAAAUACUAGAUAAAGCAUGACUAAAAUAGCAAAUAUAAAGCAAGUCAUGCAGUCUGACAGAGAGAAGGUAAACAUCGUCUGCAUAUAUGAACUUGAGCUAAACACAGCUAGAACAGACACUAGAUGAAGUUGCUUAUACGAAACAGAACCUAACAUACGUAGGGCAGAAACUAGAGCCAAGAACUAUAGCAGGACUUCUAACAGAAAGGAGAAGAACACGUACGGCACAGCAGCAGCAGAAGCGCUGGACUUGGGGUUGGUGUCCUUGCCUGCCAUGUCAUCGAGGAGGUCAUGGACGUCAGGGAAGAAGUCGUCGUCGGGGAAGUAGUCGUUGGCGACCGGAUCGUCUGUGAUGAAGCAGCCAGUAGUCGCACUAAGUGCUCCCCAAAAACCUUAUCACCCUUCUCCCGUACAGGACUCAAAAGGUGCGGUCGCGAAAGCCUACUGUCCCGACGUGCGGUGCACGCCACAAGUCGGGAUGAGGAAGACAGCAGCAGCUCAGAGAUGGAACCGAUGGCGAGGGAAGGAGCAGUUCUGGUGCGUCUCUCUGAGAGGAGCGACCUCCCUUUUAUAGGCGCAAGAGAAGGAGGCGAGAGGCUGCGCCGGGAGCUGAAGGGAAUGCGGGAGACGAAACAAACAGGCAGCAGCCGAAGGGGCGCGCCGUUCGGAUUCAGUGUCCAGGCACAGAAAAAAAAUGUUUCAGCUUCCGAGUGACCUUUCGUAUACCCGUAGUGCGUGGCAAAAAUUUAGACAUCGGCUCGGCUCAUUCCCGCAACCCGCGGCGCGGCGCAUCGUGAUGAGGCGUGGUGAGGCGGGCGGCGGAGGAGGAGCACGCGUGGAUGUCCCUCUUGUUCUCAUGCUCAUACAAGUGGGGAAGGAGCCUCCCUUAUAAAGAGGUCCAACUCCCUCUAAACUAGCAAGGUGGGACUAAACUUUAGUUCCACCUCUUGCCUUGCACGAAUGGGCUGCGUGGGCCUCUAGGAUUUAUUAGGAAUUUCUAAAAUUGCUAUUGGGCUAGGCCCAAAUAGACAAAAAUUCCAGCAAUCCCCCACCAGAUCCCAGAGGCACACAAAAUUUGCCUUUGGUUCCAAAACACUGUUUUAUAUACUGGUACAGCAGUGGAGACUGUUAAGUUGAACUUCCACCUAGAACCCUAUGCUACACUAGUAAGCAACUUGAACAGUGGACUGGGCCUUGAACUGCAAGUUUUCUGCAAAUCUAGCUUCACAUAAGGCCUUGACCGAUACGUGGCUACCGUGGGUCUUCCCCGUGGGUGGAGCUUAUGCGUCAUACUCCGUGACCUUUCAUUAGUUUACUAGAGAGAACCCUACUCUCAUAGAUUGCGACGUUUAACAAUCAGACUCAUAUAGGUGCGUUCUUCAAAAGAUGUUCUGCAGGACAACAUCUCUGCUUCAAAAAGCCACUUAGAACACAUUAAGAUAUAAAUCAACCUGCCAUGCAGAUUAGGAGAGUAUUGCAUCUUCAUGGAGUGGUAUUUUAACAGUAUGGAUACUCUCCUCUCAGUUGACCAACAACUUGUCUUCCACAUCUAAUUCACGGGAUCUCCGAUCAUAAAGAAUAGGUUACCACUAUGAACAACUCAUAUUGUGGGUCUCAUUCCCAUCUCCCUCGAUGCAUUAUCUAUCACAUUACGUGAUAGACCGUUAGUAAAAGGAUCUGCCAGAUUUUUAGACGUUUGGAUAGAAUCCAAUGCAAUAACUCUGGAGUUUUUCAUUUUUCUGACAGACUUUAACCUUCUCUGAACGUGUCUUGAUGACUUCAUGUUAUCCUUUGAGUUGCUCACUUUAGUGAUCACAGUUUGAUUGUCACAGUUCAUCCGGAUACCCGGUAUAGGUUUCUCAACUACCGGUAAGUCAUUCAAGAGCCGACGAAGCCAAUCUGCUUCGACCGUACCUGUAUCUAGUGUUGUGAGUUCUGCUUCCAUUGUUGACCUCGUUAAGAUGGUCUGCUUGCAAGACUUCCAAGAAACAGCGCCACCUCCAUGAGUGAAUACAUAACCGCUCGUGGCCUUUAUCUCAUCAGCAUCUGAGAUCCAGUUUGAGUCACUAUACCCUUCAAGCACCUUUGGAUGCCAAGUGUAGUGAAUUCCAUAAUUUGCAGUGCCUUUUAAAUAACGCAAAACUCUCUCUAGAGCUUUCCAAUGCACAUCUCCUGGUUUUGAGACAAACCGGCUUAGUUAGCUAACAGCAAAAGAGAUGUCAGGUCUCGUAGCACUGGCUAAGUACAUAAGCGAGCCAAUAAUCUGUGAAUAUUUCAAUUGGUCUCUAGUGAUUCUUCGAUUCUUUCGAAGCAACACACUAGCAUCAUAUGGUGUUGGAGAGGGCUUGCAGUCACUGUAGCCAAAGCGGCUCAAGAUCUUUUCCACAUAGUGAGAUUGAAGCAAUGUAAUCCCACAAUCAUCAUCUCUCAAAAACUUGAUGUUCAGAAUGACAUCAGCCACUCCUAAAUCCUUCAUCUCAAAACAGCAAGAUAGGAAAUCCUUGACCUCCUUAAGAACAUUCAGAUCUGUUCCGAAAAUCAGUAUGUCAUCAACAUACAAGCAAAGCAUAACUCCCUUGCCCCCACCAUGGCGAUAGUACACACAUUUGUCAGCUUCGUUCACAACAAAGCCUGCAGCUAUUAAAGUUCUUUCGAACUUCUCAUGCCACUGUUUGGGUGCUUGCUUGAGUCCAUACAAAGACUUCAGCAACUUGCACACUUUCCCUUCCUGGCCAUCUAUUACAAACCCCUCUGGUUGUUCCAUAUAAAUUUCCUCAUCCAAAUCUCCAUUUAGGAAAGCAGUCUUAACAUCCAUUUGAUGAACGAGAAGACCAUGUGAGGCAGCUAGUGAAAGUAGACCUCGAAUAGUGGUCAGUCGAGCCACAGGUGAGUAAGUAUCAAAGAAGUCUUCACCUUCCUUUUGGUUAUAACCCUUUGCCACGAGCCGAGCCUUGUACUUUUCAUUAGUACCAUCAGGCCUAAGUUUCUUCUUGAAUACCCAUUUGCAUCCUAUAGGUUUGCACCCAUAAGGACGAUCAGUUAUCUCCCAAGUUUCAUUCGCCAAGAUGGAAUCCAUCUCGCUACGAAUCGCUUCCUUCCAGUAGUCAGCAUCUUCCGAUGCAUAGGCAUCCGAAAUAGAACUGGGAGUGUCAUCUAUGAGAUACACAAGAAAAUCAUCACCAAAGGACUUUGCUGUCCUCUGUCUCUUGCUCCUAGUAGGAACUUCAUUGUUCUCCUCCGCAGGACUUUCAAAGUGUUCCAUCGAAAUGGCAGGUUCAGUAAUUGUAACUGGUUCCUGAUUCGAUGAACUAGGCAUCUCCUAAUUAGAUGAGGUAGCCAUAUCCUUCAUGGGAAUGAUAUCUUCAAAGAAAGUCGCAUCAUUCGACUCCAUGAUCGUACCGACAUGCAUGUCAGAUACCUCAGAUUUUACAACCAAGAAUCUAUAGCCAAUGCUGUGAAAAGCAUAUCCCAGGAAAACACAAUCCACAGUCUUUGGUCCAAGCUUCCGCUUCUUUGGAAUUGGAACAUUGACUUUCGCCAAGCAACCGCAUGUUCGCAGAUAAGAGAGUUUUAACCUUUUCUUCUCCCAUUCCUCGAAUGGAGUUAUCUCUUUGUUCUUUGUGGGGACUCGAUUUAGGACAUGACAUGCUGUCAAUAUCGCCUCCCCCCACCAUGCCUUGGAGAGACCCGAUGUGGCGUUAACCAAAUCAGUUAGAGUACGGUUCUUUCUUUCGGCCACCCCAUUUGACUGAGGUGAGUAGGGAGGCGUCCCCUCAUGGAUUAUACCAUGUUCUGCACAAAAAGCAUCAAAUUCAUUGGAAAAAUACUCUCCACCACGGUCAGACCUAAGCCUCUUGAUUUUUCGAUCAAGUUGGUUUUCCACUUCAGCUUUAUAGAUCUUGAAAAAGUUCAAAGCCUCAUCCUUACAUUUCAGAAGAUACACAUGGCAGUAUCUAGUGGAGUCAUUAAUUAACGUCAUGCAAUAUUUCUUUCCACCUUUUGUCAAAACACCAUUCAUUUCACAUAGAUCUGAAUGUAUAAGUUCUAGUGGUGCAAGAUUUCUCGUCUCCGUAGUCACGUGAGACUUACGAGGUUGCUUAGCUUGCACACACACUUGACACUUAGAUCCUUGACAGUGGUGAAACUAGGGAUUAAGUUCAACUUCGCUAGUCGCGACAUGCAACCAAAGUUAACAUGACAAAGACGUGAAUGCCACACAUUUGAUUCACUAUUGUUGCAAAUAUGAUUAACAACUUUAUUGCAAACGUCUGAUAAGGAUAAACGAAACAGGCCUCCUGACUCAUAGCCUUUACCAACAAAGGUCCCAUACUUGGAUAUUACAAAUUUAUUCGACUCAAAGACAAGCUUAUAGCCAUCUCUACACAGAAGAGAUCCGCUAACAAGAUUUUUAUUGACGGAGGGGACAUAAUGCACGUUCUUCAGCCGCACGAUCUUCCCUGAAGUAAACUUCAGAUCAACCAUGCCAACACCACGAACAGAAGCACUUGAACUGUUGCCCAUCAGCACGGUUGAAGUCCCUGCGGUCUGAUAAGAUGAAAACAUGGAAAUAUCACCGCAUACAUGCACAUUAGCACCCAUGUCAAUCAACCAACCAGGAGAAUGACAUACUGAAAGAAUAGUGGGAAAUAUACCAUACCCAGCAUCUUUCAUGUCAAUGUCUCCGAUGACAACAUUAGCGGUCUUGCCGCCUUUCCCAGGAUGACGCUUGUCAUAGCGAUUAGGACAACUAGGAGCCCAAUGAUCAGGAUCUCCAAACACAUGACAAGCACCUUUCUUAUUGUCAUUCUUCUUCUUGAAGUUCAUGUGCUGCACAGCCUUGUUCUUCCCAUCGAACUUUGCUUUACCAUCAAACUUGCCCUUGUUCUUGAACUUGUGGGACUGGAAGUUCUUCUUCUGUACCAGAUUGGCACUAGAUCCUCCCUCAAUACCUCGAGCACGUGUGUCCUUUGCUCUCGCCUUUUCUUCCACAUAAGAGUACCAAUGAGAUCCGGGAUGGAAAACUCCUGUCUCUUAUGCUUCAGUAAGGUAGCAAAGUUCCUCCAUGAAGGAGGAAGCUUAGUGAUGAUACCCCCGGCAACAAACUUGUCCGGUAAGAUACAAUUGAAGUGCUCAAGUUCUCUAGCAAAAGACUGUAUCUCAUGAGCCUGCUCAACCACGGAGCGCUCUUCAGUCAUCCUGUAAUCAUAGAAUUAUUCCAUGAUGUACAGCUCAGUGCCGGCAUCCGAGACCCCAAACUUGGCCUCGAGUGUGUCCCACAUAUCUUUUCAUUGUCAAUUGAAGCAUAAGCAUCAACUAUGUUCUCACCAAGAACACUCAAAAGAGCAGCCUUAAACAAGGUAUCCAUUUUCUGGAAAGCUUGUGCCUGUUGGGCAUCUUGCUCUCCUUCAGGUUUGCCAAGAGUGGCAUCAUAGAAACUCAUGGUUUGAAACCAUAAGACUGCUCUCACACGCCACUUCUUAUAGUGGAUACCCUCAAACAUAGGAGGUCUCAUGGAAGCAGCAAAAUCACUCGGGGUAAAUUGCCUAUAAUAAGGUUUUUGGAUUGUUGGAAAUAUGAGCAAUUUACCGAAUGAUUUUAUUAACAAAAAUACUAGAUAAAGCAUGACUAAAAUAGCAAAUAUAAAGCAAGUCAUGUAGUCUGACAGAGAGAAGGUAAACAUCGUCUGCAUAUAUGAACUUGAGCUAAACACAGCUAGAACAGACACUAGAUGAAGUUGCUUAUACGAAACAGAACCUAACAUACGUAGGGCAGAAACUAGAGCCAAGAACUAUAGCAGGACUUCUAACAGAAAGGAGAAGAACACGUACGGCACAGCAGCAGCAGAAGCGCUGGACUUGGGGUUGGUGUCCUCGCCUGCCAUGUCAUCGAGGAGGUCAUGGACGUCAGGGAAGAAGUCGUCGUCGGGGAAGUAGUCGUCGGCGACCGGAUCGUCUGUGAUGAAGCAGCCAGUAGUCGCACUAAGCGCUCCCCAAAAACCUUAUCACCCUUCUCCCGUACAGGACUCAAAAGGGGCGGUCGCGAAAGCCUACUGUCCCGACGUGCGGUGCACGCCACAAGUCGGGAUGAGGAAGACAGCAGCAGCUCAGAGAUGGAACCGAUGGCGAGGGAAGGAGCAGUUCUGGUGCGUCUCUCUGAGAGGAGCGACCUCCCUUUUAUAGGCGCAAGAGAAGGAGGCGAGAGGCUGCGCCGGGAGCUGAAGGGAAUGCGGGAGACGAAACGAACAGGCAGCAGCCGAAGGGGCGCGCCGUUCGGAUUCAGUGUCCAGGCACAGAAAAAAAAUGUUUCAGCUUCCGAGUGACCUUUCGUAUACCCGUAGUGCGUGGCAAAAAUUUAGACAUCGGCUCGGCUCAUUCCCGCAACCCGCGGCGCGGCGCAUCGUGAUGAGGCGUGGUGAGGCGGGCGGCGGAGGAGGAGCACGCGUGGAUGUCCCUCUUGUUCUCAUGCUCAUACAAGUGGGGAAGGAGCCUCCCUUAUAAAGAGGUCCAACUCCCUCUAAACUAGCAAGGUGGGACUAAACUUUAGUUCCACCUCUUGCCUUGCACGAAUGGGCUGCGUGGGCCUCUAGGAUUUAUUAGGAAUUUCUAAAAUUGCUAUUGGGCUAGGCCCAAAUAGACAAAAAUUCCAGCAAUCCCCCACCAGAUCCCAGAGGCACACAAAAUUUGCCUUUGGUUCCAAAACACUGUUUUAUAUACUGGUACAGCAGUGGAGACUGUUAAGUUGAACUUCCACCUAGAACCCUAUGCUACACUAGUAAGCAACUUGAACAGUGGACUGGGCCUUGAACUGCAAGUUUUCUGCAAAUCUAGCUUCACAUAAGGCCUUGACCGAUACGUGGCUACCGUGGGUCUUCCCCGUGGGUGGAGCUUAUGCGUCAUACUCCGUGACCUUUCAUUAGUUUACUAGAGAGAACCCUACUCUCAUAGAUUGCGACGUUUAACAAUCAGACUCAUAUAGGUGCGUUCUUCAAAAGAUGUUCUGCAGGACAACAUCUCUGCUUCAAAAAGCCACUUAGAACACAUUAAGAUAUAAAUCAACCUGCCAUGCAGAUUAGGAGAGUAUUGCAUCUUCAUGGAGUGGUAUUUUAACAGUAUGGAUACUCUCCUCUCAGUUGACCAACAACUUGUCUUCCACAUCUAAUUCACGGGAUCUCCGAUCAUAAAGAAUAGGUUACCACUAUGAACAACUCAUAUUGUGGGUCUCAUUCCCAUCUCCCUCGAUGCAUUAUCUAUCACAUUACGUGAUAGACCCUUAGUAAAAGGAUCUGCCAGAUUUUUAGACGUUUGGAUAUAAUCCAAUGCAAUAACUCUGGAGUUUUUCAUUUUUCUGACAGACUUUAACCUUCUCUGAACGUGUCUUGAUGACUUCAUGUUAUCCUUUGAGUUGCUCACUUUAGUGAUCACAGUUUGAUUGUCACAGUUCAUCCGGAUACCCGGUACAGGUUUCUCAACUACCGGUAAGUCAUUCAAGAGCCGACGAAGCCAAUCUGCUUCGACCGUACCUGUAUCUAGUGUUGUGAGUUCUGCUUCCAUUGUUGACCUCAUUAAGAUGGUCUGCUUGCAAGACUUCCAAGAAACAGCGCCACCUCCAUGAGUGAAUACAUAACCGCUCGUGGCCUUUAUCUCAUCAGCAUCUGAGAUCCAGUUUGAGUCACUAUACCCUUCAAGCACCUUUGGAUGCCAAGUGUAGUGAAUUCCAUAAUUUGCAGUGCCUUUUAAAUAACGCAAAACUCUCUCUAGAGCUUUCCAAUGCACAUCUCCUGGUUUUGAGACAAACCGGCUUAGUUAGCUAAUAGCAAAAGAGAUGUCAGGUCUCGUAGCACUGGCUAAGUACAUAAGCGAGCCAAUAAUCUGUGAAUAUUUCAAUUGGUCUCUAGUGAUUCUUCGAUUCUUUCGAAGCAACACACUAGCAUCAUAUGGUCUUGGAGAGGGCUUGCAGUCACUGUAGCCAAAGCGGCUCAAGAUCUUUUCCACAUAGUGAGAUUGAAGCAAUGUAAUCCCACCAUCAUCAUCUCUCAACAACUUGAUGUUCAGAAUGACAUCAGCCACUCCUAAAUCCUUCAUCUCAAAACAGCAAGAUAGGAAAUCCUUGACCUCCUUAAGAACAUUCAGAUUUGUUCCGAAAAUCAGUAUGUCAUCAACAUACAAGCAAAGCAUAACUCCCUUGCCCCCACCAUGGCGAUAGUACACACAUUUGUCAGCUUCGUUCACAACAAAGCCUGCAGCUAUUAAAGUUCUUUCGAACUUCUCAUGCCACUGUUUGGGUGCUUGCUUGAGUCCAUACAAAGACUUCAGCAACUUGCACACUUUCCCUUCCUGGCCAUCUAUUACAAACCCCUCUGGUUGUUCCAUAUAAAUUUCCUCAUCCAAAUCUCCAUUUAGGAAAGCAGUCUUAACAUCCAUUUGAUGAACGAGAAGACCAUGUGAGGCAGCUAGUGAAAGUAGACCUCGAAUAGUGGUCAGUCGAGCCACAGGUGAGUAAGUAUCAAAGAAAUCUUCACCUUCCUUUUGGUUAUAACCCUUUGCCACGAGCCGAGCCUUGUACUUUUCAUUAGUACCAUCAGGCCUAAGUUUCUUCUUGAAUACCCAUUUGCAUCCUAUAGGUUUGCACCCAUAAGGACGAUCAGUUAUCUCCCAAGUUUCAUUCGCCAAGAUGGAAUCCAUCUCGCUACGAAUCGCUUCCUUCCAGUAGUCAGCAUCUUCCGAUGCAUAGGCAUCCGAAAUAGAACUGGGAGUGUCAUCUAUGAGAUACACAAGAAAAUCAUCACCAAAGGACUUUGCUGUCCUCUGUCUCUUGCUCCUAGUAGGAACUUCAUUGUUCUCCUCCGCAGGACUUUCAAAGUGUUCCAUCGAAAUGGCAGGUUCAGUAAUUGUAACUGGUUCCUGAUUCGAUGAACUAGGCAUCUCCUAAUUAGAUGAGGUAGCCAUAUCCUUCAUGGGAAUGAUAUCUUCAAAGAAAGUCGCAUCAUUCGACUCCAUGAUCGUACCGACAUGCAUGUCAGAUACCUCAGAUUUUACAACCAAGAAUCUAUAGCCAAUGCUGUGAAAAGCAUAUCCCAGGAAAACACAAUCCACAGUCUUUGGUCCAAGCUUCCGCUUCUUUGGAAUUGGAACAUUGACUUUCGCCAAGCAACCCCAUGUUCGCAGAUAAGAGAGUUUUAACCUUUUCUUCUCCCAUUCCUCGAAUGGAGUUAUCUCUUUGUUCUUUGUGGGGACUCGAUUUAGGACAUGACAUGCUGUCAAUAUCGCCUCCCCCCACCAUGCCUUGGAGAGACCCGAUGUGGCGUUAACCAAAUCAGUUAGAGUACGGUUCUUUCUUUCGGCCACCCCAUUUGACUGAGGUGAGUAGGGAGGCGUCCUCUCAUGGAUUAUACCAUGUUCUGCACAAAAAGCAUCAAAUUCAUUGGAAAAAUACUCUCCACCACAGUCAGACCUAAGCCUCUUGAUUUUUCGAUCAAGUUGGUUUUCCACUUCAGCUUUAUAGAUCUUGAAAAAGUUCAAAGCCUCAUCCUUACAUUUCAGAAGAUACACAUGGCAGUAUCUAGUGGAGUCAUUAAUUAACGUCAUGCAAUAUUUCUUUCCACCUUUUGUCAAAACACCAUUCAUUUCACAUAGAUCUGAAUGUAUAAGUUCUAGUGGUGCAAGAUUUCUCGUCUCCGCAGUCACGUGAGACUUACGAGGUUGCUUAGCUUGCACACACACUUGACACUUAGAUCCUUGACAGUGGUGAAACCAGGGAUUAAGUUCAACUUCGCUAGUCGCGACAUGCAACCAAAGUUAACAUGACAAAGACGUGAAUGCCACACAUUUGAUUCACUAUUGUUGCAAAUAUGAUUAACAACUUUAUUGCAAACGUCUGAUAAGGAUAAACGAAACAGGCCUCCUGACUCAUAGCCUUUACCAACAAAGGUCCCAUACUUGGAUAUUACAAAUUUAUUCGACUCAAAGACAAGCUUAUAGCCAUCUCUACACAGAAGAGAUCCGCUAACAAGAUUUUUAUUGACGGAGGGGACAUAAUGCAUGUUCUUCAGCCGCACGAUCUUCCCUGAAGUAAACUUCAGAUCAACCAUGCCAACACCACGAACAGAAGCACUUGAACUGUUGCCCAUCAGCACGGUUGAAGUCCCUGCGGUCUGAUAAGAUGAAAACAUGGAAAUAUCACCGCAUACAUGCACAUUAGCACCCAUGUCAAUCAACCAACCAGGAGAAUGACAUACUGAAAGAAUAGUGGGAAAUAUACCAUACCCAGCAUCUUUCAUGUCAAUGUGUCCGAUGACAACAUUAGCGGUCUUGCCGCCUUUCCCAGGAUGACGCUUGUCAUAGCGAUUAGGACAACUAGGAGCCCAAUGAUCAGGAUCUCCAAACACAUGACAAGCACCUUUCUUCUUGUCAUUCUUCUUCUUGAAGUUCAUGUGCUGCACAGCCUUGUUCUUCCCAUCGAACUUUGCUUUACCAUCAAACUUGCCCUUGUUCUUGAACUUGUGGGACUGAAAGUUCUUCUUCUGUACCAGAUUGGCACUAGAUCCUCCCUCAAUACCUCGGGCACGUGUGUCCUUUGCUCUCGCCUUUUCUUCCACAUAAGAGUACCAAUGAGAUCCGGGACGGAAAACUCCUGUCUCUUAUGCUUCAGUAAGGUAGCAAAGUUCCUCCAUGAAGGAGGAAGCUUAGUGAUGAUACCCCCGGCAACAAACUUGUCCGGUAAGAUACAAUUGAAGUUCUCAAGUUCUCUAGCAAAAGACUGUAUCUCAUGAGCCUGCUCAACCAUGGAGCGCUCUUCAGUCAUCCUGUAAUCAUAGAAUUAUUCCAUGAUGUACAGCUCAGUGCCGGCAUCCGAGACCCCAAACUUGGCCUCGAGUGUGUCCCACAUAUCUUUUCAUUGUCAAUUGACGCAUAAGCAUCAACUAUGUUCUCACCAAGAACACUCAAAAGAGCAGCCUUAAACAAGGUAUCCAUUUUCUGGAAAUCUUGUGCCUGUUGGGCAUCUUGCUCUCCUUCAGGUUUGCCAAGAGUGGCGUCAUAGAAACUCAUGGUUUGAAACCAUAAGACUGCUCUCACACGCCACCUCUUAUAGUGAAUACCCUCAAACAUAGGAGGUCUCAUGGAAGCAGCAAAAUCACUCAGGGUAAAUUGCCUAUAAUAAGGUUUUUGGAUUGUUGGAAAUAUGAGCAAUUUACCGAAUGAUUUUAUUAACAAAAAUACUAGAUAAAGCAUGACUAAAAUAGCAAAUAUAAAGCAAGUCAUGCAGUCUGAGAGAUAGAAGGUAAACAUCGUCUGCAUAUAUGAACUUGAGCUAAACACAUCUAGAACAGACACUAGAUGAAGUUGCUUAUACGAAACAGAACCUAACAUACGUAGGGCAAAAUCUAGAGCCAAGAACUGUAGCAGGACUUCUAACAGAAAGGAGAAGAACACGUACGGCACAGCAGCAGCAGAAGCGCUGGACUUGGGUUGCUGUCCUCGCCUGCCAUGUCAUCGAGGAGGUCAUGGACGUCAGGGAAGAAGUCGUCGUCGGCGGGGAAGUAGUCGUCGGCGACCGGAUCGUCUGUGAUGAAGCAGCCAGUAGUCGCACUGAGCACUCCCCAAAAACCUUAUCACCCUUCUCUCGUACAAGACUCAAAAGGUGCGGUCGCGAAAGCCUACUGUCCCGACGUGCGGUGCACGCCGCAAGUCGGGAUGAGGAAGACAGCAGCAGCUCAGAGAUGGAACCGAUGGCGAGGGAAGGAGCAGUUCUGGUGCGUCUCUCUGAGAGGAGCGACCUCCCUUUUAUAGGCGCAAGAGAAGGAGGCGAGAGGCUGCGCCGAGAGCUGAAGGGAAUGCGGGAGACGAAACGAACAGGCAGCAGCCGAAGGGGCGCACCAUUCGGAUUCAGUGUCCAGGCACAGAAAAAAAAUGUUUCAGCUUUCGAGUGACCUUUCGUAUACCCGUAGUGCGUGGCAAAAAUUUAGACAUCGGCUCGGCUCAUUCCCGCAACCCGCGGCGCGGCGCAUCGUGACGAGGCGUGGUGAGGCAGGCGGCGGAGGAGGAGCGCACGUGGAUGUCCCUCUUGUUCUCAUGCUCAUACAAGUGGGGAAGGAGCCUCCCUUAUAAAGAGGUCCAACUCCCUCUAAACUAGCAAGGUGGGACUAAACUUUAGUUCCACCUCUUGCCUUGCACGAAUGGGCUGCAUGGGCCUCUAGGAUUUAUUAGGAAUUUCUAAAAUUGCUAUUGGGCUAGGCCCAAAUAGACAAAAAUUCCAGCAAUCCCCCACCAGAUCCCAGAGGCACAAAAAAUUUGCCUUUGGUUCCAAAACACUGUUUUAUAUACUGGUACAGCAGUGGAGACUGUUAAGUUGAACUUCCACCUAGAACCCUAUGCUACACUAGUAAGCAACUUGAACAGUGGACUGGGCCUUGAACUGCAAGUUUUCUGCAAAUCUAGCUUCACAUAAAGCCUUGACCGAUACGUGGCUACCGUGGGUCUUCCCCGCGGGUGGAGCUUAUGCGUCAUACUCCAUGACCUUUCAUUAGUUUACUAGAGAGAACCCUACUCUCAUAGAUUGCGACGUUUAACAAUCAGACUCAUAUAGGUGCGUUCUUCAAAAGAUGUUCUGCAGGACAACAUCUCUGCUUCAAAAAGCCACUUAGAACACAUUAAGAUAUAAAUCAACCUGCCAUGCAGAUUAGGAGAGUAUUGCAUCUUCAUGGAGUGGUAUUUUAACAGUAUGGAUACUCUCCUCUCAGUUGACUAACAGCUUGUCUUCCACAUCUAAUUCACGGGAUCUCCGAUCAUAAAGAAUAGAUUACCACUGUGAACAACUCAUAUUGUGGGUCUCAUUCCCAUCUCCCUCGAUGCAUUAUCUAUCACAUUACGUGAUAGACCCUUAGUAAAAGGAUCUGCCAGAUUUUUAGACGUUUGGAUAUGAUCCAAUGCAAUAACUCUGGAGUUUUUCAUUUUUCUGACAGACUAACCUUCUCUGAACGUGUCUUGAUGACUUCAUGUUAUCCUUUGAGUUGCUCACUUUAGUGAUCACAGUUUGAUUGUCACAGUUCAUCCGGAUACCCGAUACAGGUUUCUCAACUACCGGUAAGUCAUUCAAGAGCAGACGAAGCCAAUCCGCUUCAACCGUACAUGUAUCUAGUGUUGUGAGUUCUACUUCCAUUGUUGACCUCGUUAGAUGGUCUGCUUGCAAGACUUCCAAGAAACAGCGCCACCUCCAUGAGUGAAUACAUAACCGCUCGUGGCCUUUAUCUCAUCAACAUCUGAGAUCCAGUUUGAGUUACUAUACCCUUCAAGCACCUUUGGAUGCCCAGUGUAGUGAAUUCCAUAAUUUGCAGUGCCUUUCAAAUAACGCAAAACUCUCUCUAGAGCUUUCCAAUGCACAUCUCCUGGUUUUGAGACAAACCGGCUUAGUUAGCUAACAGCAAAAGAGAUGUCAGGUCUCAUAGCACUGGCUAAGUACAUAAGCGAGCCAAUAAUCUGUGAAUAUUUCAAUUGGUCUCUAGCGAUUCUUCGAUUCUUUCGAAGCAACACACUAGCAUCAUAUGGUGUUGGAGAGGGCUUGCAGUCACUAUAGCCAAAGCGGCUCAAGAUCUUUUCCACAUAGUGAGAUUGAAGCAAUGUAAUCCCACCAUCAUCAUCUCUCAACAACUUGAUGUUCAGAAUGAGAUCAGCCACUCCUAAAUCCUUCAUCUCAAAACAGCAAGAUAGGAAAUCCUUGACCUCCUUAAGAACAUUCAGAUUUGUUCCGAAAAUCAGUAUGUCAUCAACAUACAAGCAAAGCAUAACUCCCUCGCCCCCACCAUGGCGAUAGUACACACAUUUGUCAGCUUCGUUCACAACAAAGCCUGCAGCUAUUAAAGUUCUUUCGAACUUCUCAUGCCACUGUUUGGGUGCUUGCUUGAGUCCAUACAAAGACUUCAGCAACUUGCACACUUUCCCUUCCUGGCCAUCUAUUACAAACCCCUCUGGUUGUUCCAUAUAAAUUUCCUCAUCCAAAUCUCCAUUUAGGAAAGCAGUCUUAACAUCCAUUUGAUGAACGAGAAGACCAUGUGAGGUAGCUAGUGAAAGUAGACCUCGAAUAGUGGUCAGUCGAGCCACAGGUGAGUAAGUAUCAAAGAAGUCUUCACCUUCCUUUUGGGUAUAACCCUUUUCCAUGAGCCAAGCCUUGUACUUUUCAUUAGUACCAUCAGGCCUAAGUUUCUUCUUGAAUACCCAUUUGCAUCCUAUAGGUUUGCACCCAUAAGGACGAUCAGUUAUCUCCCAAGUUUCAUUCGCCAAGAUGGAGUCCAUCUCGCUACGAAUCGCUUCCUUCCAGUAGUCAGCAUCUUCCGAUGCAUAGGCAUCCGAAAUAGAACUGGGAGUGUCAUCUAUGAGAUACACAAGAAAAUCAUCAGCAAAGGACUUUGCUGUCCUCUGUCUCUUGCUCCUAGUAGGAACUUCAUUGUUCUCCUCCGCAGGACUUUCAAAGUGUUCCAUCGAAAUGGCAGGUUCAGUAAUUGUAACUGGUUCCUGAUUCGAUGAACUAGGCAUCUCCUAAUUAGAUGAGGUAGCCAUAUCCUUCAUGGGAAUGAUAUCUUCAAAGAAAGUCGCAUCAUUCGACUCCAUGAUCGUACCGACAUGCAUGUCAGAUACCUCAGAUUUUACAACCAAGAAUCUAUAGCCAAUGCUGUGAAAAGCAUAUCCCAGGAAAACACAAUCAACAGUCUUUGGUCCAAGCUUCCGCUUCUUUGGAAUUGGAACAUUGACUUUCGCCAAGCAACCCCAUGUUCGCAGAUAAGAGAGUUUUAACCUUUUCUUCUCCCAUUCCUCGAAUGGAGUUAUCUCUUUGUUCUUUGUGGGGACUCGAUUUAGGACAUGACAUGCUGUCAAUAUCGCCUCCCCCCACCAUGCCUUGGAGAGACCCGAUGUGGCGUUAACCAAAUCAGUUAGAGUACGGUUCUUUCUUUCGGCCACCCCAUUUGACUGAGGUGAGUAGGGAUGCGUCCUCUCAUGGAUUAUACCUUGUUCUGCACAAAAAGCAUCAAAUUCAUUGGAAAAAUACUCUCCACCACGGUCAGACCUAAGCCUCUUGAUUUUUCGAUCAAGUUGGUUUUCCACUUCAGCUUUAUAGAUCUUGAAAAAGUUCAAAUCCUCAUCCUUACAUUUCAGAAGAUACACAUGGCAGUAUCUAGUGGAGUCGUUAAUUAACGUCAUGAAAUAUUUCUUUCCACGUUUUGUCAAAACACCAUUCAUUUCACAUAGAUCUGAAUGUAUAAGUUCUAGUGGUGCAAGAUUUCUCGUCUCCGCAGUCAUGUGAGACUUACGAGGUUGCUUAGCUUGCACACACACUUGACACUUAGAUCCCUUGACAGUGGUGAAACUAGGGAUUAAGUUCAACUUCGCUAGCCGCGACAUGCAACCAAAGUUAACAUGACAAAGACGUGAAUGCCACACAUUUGAUUCACUAUUGUUGCAAAUAUGAUUAACAACUUUAUUGCAAAUGUCUGAUAAGGAUAAACGAAACAGGCUUCCUGACUCAUAGCCUUUGCCAACAAAAGUUCCAUACUGGGAUAUUACAAAUUUAUUCGACUCAAAUACAAGCUUAUAGCCAUCUCUACACAGAAGAGAUCCGCUAACAAGAUUGUUAUUGACGGAGGGGACAUAAUGCACGUUCUUCAGCCGCACGAUCUUCCCCGAAGUAAACUUCAGAUCGACCAUGCCAACACCACGAACAGAAGCACUUGAACCGUUGCCCAUCAGCACGGUUGAAGUCCCUGCGGUCUGAUCAGAUGAAAACAUGGAAAUAUCACUGCAUACAUGCACAUUAGCACCCAUGUCAAUCAACCAAUCAGGAGAAUGACAUACUGAAAGAAUAGUGGGAAAUAUACCAUACCCAGCAUCUUUCAUGUCAAUGUCUCCGAUGACAACAUUAGCGGUCUUGCCGCCUUUCCCAGGAUGACGCUUGUCAUAGAGAUUAGGACAAAUAGGAGCCCAAUGAUCAGGCUCUCCACACACAUGACAAGCACCUUUCUUCUUGUCAUUCUUCUUCUUGAAGUUCGUGUGCUGCACAGCCUUGUUCUUCCCAUCGAACUUUGCUUUACCAUCAAACUUGCCCUUGUUCUAGAACUUGUGGGACUGGAAGUUCUUCUUCUGUACUAGAUUGGCACUAGAUCCUCCCUCAAUACCUCGAGCACGUGUGUCCUUUGCUCUCGCCUUUUCUUCCACAUCAAGAGUACCAAUGAGUUCCGGGACGGAAAACUCCUGUCUCUUAUGCUUCAGUAAGGUAGCAAAGUUCCUCCACGAAGGAGGAAGCUUAGUGAUGAUACCCCCGGCAACAAACUUGUCCGGUAAGAUACAAUUGAAGUGCUCAAGUUCUCUAGCAAAGGACUGUAUCUCAUGAUCCUGCUCAACCACGGAGCGCUCUUCAGUCAUCAUGUAAUCAUAGAAUUGCUCCAUGAUGUACAAUUCAGUGCCGGCAUCCGAGACCCCAAACUUGGCCUCAAGUGCGUCCCACAUAUCUUUUCUAUUGUCAAUUGACGCAUAAGCAUCAACUAUGUUCUCACCAAGAACACUCAAAAGAGCAGCCUUAAACAAGGUAUCCAUUUUCAGAAAAGCUUGUGCCUGUUGGGCAUCUUGCUCUCCUUCAGGUUUGCCAAGAGUGGCGUCAUAGCAACUCAUGGUUUGAAACCAUAAGACUGCUCUCACGCGCCACCUCUUAUAGUGGAUACCCUCAAACAUACGAGCUCUCAUGGAAGCAGCAAAACCACUCGGGGUAAAUUGCCUAUAAUAAGGUUUUUGGAUUGUUGGAAAUAUGAGCAAUUUACCGAAUGAUUUUAUUAACAAAAAUACUAGAUAAAGCAUGACUAAAAUAGCAAAUAUAAAACAAGUCAUGCAGUCUGACAGAGAGAAGGUAAACAUCGUCUGCAUAUAUGAACUUGAGCUAAACACAUCUAGAACAUACACUAGAUGAAGUUGCUUAUACGAAACAGAACCUAACAUACGUAGGGCAGAAACUAGAGCCAAGAACUGUAGCAGGACUUCUAACAGAAAGGAGAAGAACACGUACGGCAUAGCAGCAGCAGAAGCGCUGGACUUCGGGUCGGUGUCCUCGCCUGCCAUGUCGUCGAGGAGGUCGUGGACGUCGGGGAAGAAGUCGUCGUCGGGGAAGUAGUCGUCGGCGACCGGAUCGUCCGUGAUGAAGCAGCCAGUAGUCGCGCUGAGCGCUCCCCAAAAACCUUAUCACCCUUCUCCCGUACAGGACUCAAAAGGUGCGGUCUCGGAGGCCUACUAUCCCGACGUGCGGUGCACGCCGCAAGUCGGGAUGAGGAAGACAGCAGCAGCUCAGAGAUGGAACCGAUGGCGAGGGAAGGAGCAGUUCUGGUGCGUCUCUCUGAGAGGAGCGACCUCCCUUUUAUAGGCGCAAGAGAAGGAGGCGAGAGGCUGCGCCGGGAGCUGAAGGGAAUGCGGGAGACGAAACGAACAUGCAGCAGCCGAAGGGGCGCGCCUUCGGAUUCAGUGUCCAGGCACAGAAAAAAAUGUUUCAGCUUCCGAGUGACCUUUCGUAUACCCGUAGUGCGUGGCAAAAAUUUAGACAUCGGCUCGGCUCAUUCCCGCAACCCGCGGCGCGGCAUGACGAGGCGUGGUGAGGCGGGCGGCGGAGGAGGAGCGCGCGUGGAUGUCCCUCUUGUUCUCAUGCUCAUACAAGUGGAGAAGGAGCCUCCCUUAUAAAGAGGUCCAACUCCCUCUAAACUAGCAAGGUGGGACUAAACUUUAGUUCCACCUCUUGCCUUGCACGAAUGGGCUGCGUGGUCCUCUAGGAUUUAUUAGGAAUUUCUGAAACUGCUAUUGUGCUAGGCCCAAAUAGACAAAAAUUCCAGCAGUUUGUGUUCUUCAGGUCUCCACUUGCCAUGAUAUUGCGGCUGGGCUUCGGGUAUGUGUUACCACUGAUACAUCAUUCCAAACUACUAAUGAAUUGGUCUCUGAUGUCUUCUUCUCAAUUUUAACUAGGGCCUGCUUCUGUUUGCACCAAUUCGAGAUAGUGGUUGUGGAAUGCAGCAGCCAAGACAACAAGGUCAGGCUCGGCUUAGGUAUGAUGACAAACAAAAUUAGAUUCGGAUGGUUCCUUACAUCUUCCUCUCAGAAUCAAGAGUGAUAAUACUUUUUUGGUGCUCCGGCUUCUGCAGUUUCUGAAGAACUGAUUCGUUGUUCAGGCAUUUCAUGCAUUUGGAGUUCACAGGUAUCUAAGUUUCUCUGACUGUGUUUUCAAAUAAUUGAUACUUGACAUUAGGAUUUUUGGCUGAACAAAUCAUCUUAGACAUAAGUAGAACCCGGCAAAUUGUGAGACAGAGCUAAUUGAUACACAGUUUAGAAAAUAGAACUGAACAAUUCUUGGUAGUCACUAUUGAUUAGCUAUGUGCGUACCUUAAGUUCCUUACUACUUAUUUUAAUUGUUAGUACUUGAAGGUUUGAAUAAUUAUUAUUACCAAGUUACAUGUUGAUCACUACUUAUUAUGAAAAUGUAUGUCCAUGGUUUAAAGGAGCUUUAUUGUUUCAGUCUAUACUAAGUUAUUUGUCGGUUAUACUGGAGCUUAUAUUGUUCCCUCUUUGAUCUAGACAUCAAAUAUUCUAAGCUUCAUUUUUGUGAGCAAACGGUUCUAUGCUUCCUUUUUGUGAACAUUGCUCCAUAAAUAGUAGUGGCAUUUACUAUGCAGAUGAUACUGACAAAUUAUCAUACAAGUCCGCAUUAAUAUUCAGUCAGUAGGUUAUUGAAGAAGGCCGGAGAUCGCGUGGAGCACCAACAAUAACCUCAAGUAGAUGCAGCAGAGACAUGUGAUGAACUAUCAUAUGUUUCCUAAUCUGAAUGUUUGCUCCAAUCGCUUGAUUGUUUGAUCUGGUUUGUUGUGACAAUACAAUGAUUUUCUAUGUUCUUUUUGUGGUGCAAUCUCCGUUGAUUUGGAAAGAUGGGGACUUUCUGUUGAGCUAUUUCGAUCGGCCAUUGGCCAUAACAUUCCAAAUUCCUUAUUUUGUUUCCUCUUUUUCGCGGCUUCAUUUUACGUGUCUCACUAAAGGUGGGCAUGACUUGAAAAGGGAGGCAAACAAAACUGCCAAGAUGCAUCUCUUUUGCAGCAGAAGAAGAGGCACUGAUGAGAGGUGGAAAAGGAGGGGCAAAGAAGGAAGCCAUGGGCAUGUGCCGCCUACCGACCAUGAAUAUCAACAAUGACAAUGACGACUAGCUUGUGUGCGUGUGAGAGAGGGAGGGAGAGGGAGUCAAAACAAAAUGAUGUAUAUCUUUACUACAUUAUAAAAUGGGAUUUGGUGAGCUAUUUGUCCUUUAUGAUUCAUGAGAUUUUAAUUCUAUAGUGUUUUUUGCUCUUAAUAUAUUAUUGUGGUUAUAGAUUUAUCAUUGACACAAUAUAUGUAGAAACUUUUUUGAUCUAAAUAAGAAGAACAAAAGUUUACGGGAUGCUUUUUGAUCGUUCCCUUUACCUAGCUUCCAAUUUCUAUUGUCAGAAACACAUUUUUUUUGUUCCUAUAGGAAACAUAUGCAAAUAAAAGAUUUGCCGAAGCUUUUUGAGUCCCUGAUGCAUACUAAAUACAGUCCUAGAACAAUAUGCUUAUGCAUAAUAACAAGCUGGAAAAUUGCUCCAAAAUAACACUUAAAACAUAUAAAAGAACAAAAAAAUCCAUUCUGAAUUCUAAAAUGAUCUUUCAAUGUAUGCAGCAAACUGCUUCCUUUAUAAUCUGACAAAACUCGCAGGACUUAUCAUGACGCAUGAAAGGAUAUAGUAAACCAUCACACCGAAGCCGAGGUUGGCUUUGUUUCCUUAUUUUUGCGAGAAGGUGUCAUAGUUCUACUAUUUUGAUUAGCCAUCUAGAGGGAUGACAGUGCAUGCAAUCAUUUAAAUAAAAUAAUACAAAGAUGCUGCAUGAGUCAUCAAUUCAAACAAGAACUUGUUUCAUGUGAUUUUUUGUGUAAAGUGGAAACAAAUUAUUUUUAUAACAACUAAUUCGACAACACAAGUGCUACACCGUGAUCAGUAUAUGCAUAUGAUACGAUCUAGCUAUUUUCCUUUGCACGGGUGGUUUUUAUCAUGAGGUAGGAGGGUUCGUACAAGUCGACUAUCAGCUCUCAUGCAAUGCUUUAAAAAGAAAAACGAGAGGAAUUUGUGAAUUUUUGUAUAACAUUGCAAAUUAUAUGAAAAAACUUUUUAAUUUGUCAGAACUUUUAGGAGGGAGUGAGUGGCAAAUGUUGGAAGACAUUCAAAGUUAGGAUGAUGGGAAUGCCUAUGGCAAUUUGGAGAACUUGGAGAAAACAUAUGCGAACUUGAGCUAGGUAGCAAUGUAGAGCUUAAUUAAGCUAAAUGGUUCAUAUUCAUUUGUUAGUCCAUGAGUUCGAGAUGAUGGACUCAACAAUUGGAUAGAUUUGGAGGGAACACGAAUUUGGAGUAGUGUGACAACAUAGCGAAGUAAUGACACAAUGGUCGAAGGGCUGAAGUUGAGGGGCUUGUGAUAGAUCCAUUUGUUGGCCCGUGGCUGCGCACGGGCGUUCUACUAGUAAUCAUUGGUGGCUUCUUUGACCACCAGACGGCUUAUUGACUUCUUCCACUCGAGGAUCACCGUGGAGCAAUCCUUCUUCCCCUUCCUACAGAAGCACGCCAACCACAAACAAAUGCUCAAAAAGACCUUAGCAAAUGCCAUUGAACUAGAUUGUAGGCAAGAGGAAUCUUAUUAGUUGGUAGAUGUAGAUGUCGAGGCCUCAUCAUUGCUUGCCAGAGGCCUCAUGUGUAUGUCGUGCGUCCCACCAGAGGCCUCUUUUAAUUAGAGGAAGGGCGGUGCGGAGAAGACAUCAUUAGUCACCCUGGGAGAAGAAAGUUCGGUGGCGGUGCGUGUAAAGAGGAGACUUUGGUAGUUUCUGGUGGAGUUGUGGUAGCCGUAGGGACGACGAGAGUGAGAGAGGACUGGGGACGGAGGAGAGGUGAUGGAUGGAAAAAAAUUGGGUGAUUGAGGACGAAAACCAAGAUGAAAANNNNNNNNNNNNNNNNNNNNNNNNNNNNNNNNNNNNNNNNNNNNNNNNNNNNNNNNNNNNNNNNNNNNNNNNNNNNNNNNNNNNNNNNNNNNNNNNNNNNNNNNNNNNNNNNNNNNNNNNNNNNNNNNNNNNNNNNNNNNNNNNNNNNNNNNNNNNNNNNNNNNNNNNNNNNNNNNNNNNNNNNNNNNNNNNNNNNNNNNNNNNNNNNNNNNNNNNNNACUAGAUGUCUCUGUAGUGAAGUAAUAUGAGCAUAACUUAAUUGAUCAGUGUAAAACUUUGAAUUGGUUAAGUAUACUACACUAAAGUAAGUUGUAAAGCCUAAUUGCAAUUAUAUCUUUGAGGGCAAUGCUUAUGAGUUGCGUGACAAUCUUGUCUGUUCUGGAUCUUGCAUCUGAUUCUAAUUAAACAGUACAUGUUAGAUGUUUUUAAUGAGGUCCACGUUAGAUUUGAUUGUUAAUUUAUAGUGCGGGUGAAAGCGGAUUCUAUCCUUUUCGUCUGCCAUUUUUCCUUUCAUAAAAUGUGUCCAUGGAGUAAUUCUCCACAAAAACAAACUUAACUGGACAAAAUAUCCACGGCAAGUCGCAUAUCUUGUGCAACUGUUCACUGUUGAAAGCUUAUUGUGCCACUACCCAUCAUUGCAAGGAAAAAAUACAGAAGAUUUAUGUUCUACCAAAUACAUUCUUUUGUUCAGAUUUAGCCAGGUAUGAUCCUGGUUGCGUCAGCCAUUAGAGUACAUUGCGAUCGACUAGACAGUUUCAGUGCUCAUCUUGCCUACUUUUGCAGCACUAGAUUUGCGAUCAGGUAGAUAAACACAACAACAAAGGAGACGACAGAUGCCAGCGGCCCAUAUUUCCCAAGAAUUCUCUGUGGGUUAAUUCCAUAAUACGGAUUGAAUUCUCUACUGGCACGGAAUCCAGCAACAAGGGCCACACCAUGCUGACACUAGCAGCUAUGUGUUGCUCCCGUGGGCAAGACCUGCCCAAGGAGGAUAGGUAAGAGAAAUGGCUGAAGACACACCAACACCUGGCAACAUGUAGGUUCAUAUUUCACCCCCACCCUUGGAUAAAACCGUGAAUCAUUUGAAACAUAUUAAAACUUGAGUGCAUUUUUUAUUUUGGAGAAAUAUAUAUGCUCACAAGAGCUUAGGAGUCACACGUCGGUUCUAGGUAAUUAAACAAACAAGAACAUUCACUUGUUGAGAAAUUUUACCACCUCUUCUUGCUUCUUUUAUGACACUAGAACUUGACGGGCUUUGGGUCACCUCCUUUUCGGUUUAUAAGGCUUGCGCGUAUCUCUAGGUUGACAAAUAGACCAACUUAAUACAAGUUGUAUAUCACAAAAAAUAUAUAAUUAGGAACUUCAAAUCGUAUACUUUCUAAUGGUAUAAUUUUUAGACUAUACAACUCAUGUUAUGUUGGUCAAGUUAUAGAUCCAGGGAUAUGUACAAGCCUUAUAAACCGGAAAGGAGGUAUGUUAGUAGAUAAACAUGCCAAUUAAGGACUUCUUGACAAGUCUAUGCAGAUUAAAGGUAUGUUAGUAGAUGGUGUAAUAAAUACAUGCUUUUAGCUAUCUAAGGAUACAAAUAUGCCACUAUUUACUUUGUAAAUGCUCGAAAUCAUUCUCAGAAAUUUUAGUAACAACAGUUGUCAUGAACAACUUGGACUAAAUGCAUCAAAUGUUACAAAUAAUACAUAAAAACAUUCAAAUGUACUUAGAGUGAAUCAAUUAAGACGUGUAAAGCUAGUACUAAUCCAAUAUUUCUUAAUGACUUGCAUAUACUUACAACACUUGACGUAAAGAGUGAAUCAAUUAAGACGUGCAAAGCCAGUACUAAUCCAAUUUUAUUAAUAGCUUCCACAAAAUUACAACACGUGGCGUAAAAAGGGAAUAUGAUGAGUCAUGUAUUGAUAACGUGUACAACAUUACUACCCUUGACAUAAAAAGAGAAGUUGAUGAGUCAUGUCUUAAUAACGUGUACAACAUUACUAUCAGCUUGUUCAUCUUACCAUCAUACUAUACAACACUAUAAGUUAGUUUAAAAAAGAAUAAGAGUCCAGAACAAACAUCACAAUACUAGCCUGAUCUAUAUUAACAACAUGCACAAGGACACAAAUUUAGUUCCCCGCAAGCUAUGAAGAUUUGGUUUAUGUCUAACAACUUGUACAAUAUGACAAACUUAGAUCCAAAAGGAAUGCAAACCAGAUAAUUGUAAUGCAAUCCAGAUAAUUAUUUGACAUGCAAAGUGAAUAAGAUGAGUCACUACCAAUUAUCAAGUUUUCCUCACUCUUAGAUGAUAUGAACCAUAAAAAGGCAACUUUGAUGAUCACUCCAUAAUUACGUUUGUAUGUAGUGCCACCAAACACAACACACAAAAUAAUUAGUUCGAUAAGCAUCGAAUCACUUUAAAAAGGAAAGCAAAAAUGGAAAGAAACCUAACCAUGGGAGCUAUAAAAAGGCCUGCAAUAUGUAGACUCCAUACCAUCAUCCAUCCUUCACACAACUAGAGCACAAGUAUCAAAUCCAAGUACGUAGUGGUUAACGCAAAUUAACCAUGAAGACCUUACUCAUCCUAACAAUCCUUGUGAUGGCAGUAACCAUCGGCACCGCCAAUAUGCAGGUCGACCCUAGCGGCCAAGUACAAUGGCCACAACAACAACCAGUCCUGCUGCCUCAGCAACCAUUCUCCCAGCAACCACAACAAACAUUUCCCCAACCCCAACAAACAUUCCCCCAUCAACCACAACAACAAUUUCCCCAGCCUCAACAACCACAACAACAAUUUCUCCAGCCACAACAACCAUUCCCCCAACAACCACAACAACCAUAUCCCCAGCAACCACAACAACCAUUCCCCCAGACUCAACAACCCCAACAACUAUUUCCCCAGUCCCAGCAACCACAACAACCAUAUCCCCAGCAACCACAACAACCAUUCCCCCAGACUCAACAACCCCAACAACAAUUUCCCCAAUCCCAGCAACCACAAUAACCAUUUCCCCAACCCCAACAACCGCAACAAUCAUUCCCCCAGCAACAACCAUCGUUCAUUCAGCCAUCUCUACAACAACAGCUGAACCCAUGCAAGAAUUUACUCUUGCAGCAAUGCAGACCUGUGUCAUUGGUCUCAUCCCUCUGGUCAAUGAUCUGGCCACAAAGCGCUUGCCAAGUGAUGAGGCAACAAUGCUGCCAACAACUAGCACAGAUUCCUCAGCAGCUCCAGUGUGCAGCCAUCCAUAGCGUCGUGCAUUCCAUCAGCAUGUAGCAAGAACAACAACAACAACAACAACAACAACAACAACAACAACAACAACAACAACAACAACAACAACAACAACAACAACAACAACAACAACAACAACAAGGCAUGCGUAUCCUGCUGCCACUAUAUCAGCAACAACAGGUGGGUCAAGGUACUCUCGUCCAGGGCCAGGGCAUCAUCCAACCCCAACAACCAGCUCAAUUGGAGGCGAUCAGGUCAUUGGUGUUGCAAACUCUUCCAACCAUGUGCAACGUGUAUGUCCCACCUGAGUGCUCUAUCAUCAAGGCACCAUUUGCCAGCAUAGUCACCGGAAUUGGUGGCCAAUGAAAAACGCAAGAGCCAUACUAAUAGGUAGAUGGAUCAUCGUUGCUUAGCUGAUUUACCAAUCGAUGUAACGAUGCCAAAUAAACUGGUGUGCACCAUCAUGUGUCAUCCUGACCAGUGCUAGUUCAAGAUUGGGAAUAAAAGAGAAGAACGUUCAUGUUUGCCAACAUUGCUUGUCAUUGUUCCAUUCACUGUGUAUUUAUAUUUUCAUCCUGAACUGCAAUUCUAGUCUUACACAUCAAUAGCUAGUUGCUCAUGUCGGCAGGUUCCUAUGUAAUCUAAUGAUUAAUGGUCGACCUAUUAAUCUAGUUUAUCGGCCGAUUGAUCUAUUAAUUGGUGCUCCCAAGCCGACCGAGCAGCCAUCAGUUACCGAUUUCCUGAACAUUGCACACAAUAAUAAUUCAACGUAUUUCAAUGUCUAGAAGUAAAAGGGCCAUAUAAGCAGUAAAACAAGCGCCUGAUUAGAAACCAUCCAUCACUUUAAAUUAAUCUAGAUAUUUUUGUGUUGGUGCAAUUUUGAGUUGAUGGCACCGACACAUUCUUGAAAGAAAUUCUACAGGGAACUCCAAAGAGGUGAAAAUCAAACUAAAGUUGCCACAUGGUAAAAGAUAAAUCAUGCGGCAAGCAAGAGGAAAUAUUGAGUCACAAUAGCUAGCGCCAAACAUGUAAUUAAACUAUUCUUAUGGUUUCUUGCAAAGAGGGAAGUAAUUUACAGAUGACAAACAAAACGUAAUUAGCAUUAGUUCUAAUUGAUUGUAGAAAUUUCUUUUAUCGGUAGAAUAACUCAGUUGUUAUUUAUUUAAACAUGCACUGUGAUAUUGACUUAUCUCAAUCUAGGAACACAAAGCAAAUACUACAUUUGCUGCUAUGGACUCCAAACAGAUGAGAAAUCAUUAUGUGUAGAAGUUCCUUAGAAGGAUAUUUUGGCCUAAACAAAUUUAACAUUGUACUCGUGUCUUACAUAGUUAAAGCUGAAAAAUCAACAUAACCAGUGGACACUUUGUAAGACAAGUGUGGGAAACAAAUAGUAGGAUAUAAAUUUGAGUAGAAUGUUUGCUCAAAUGUUGAAAAAAUAACCCAGCAAACUAAAACUCAGCAAAACAGUCUAUUCUACCUUAUACGGACUGUCACAAUGAUAAUGCUAUGUUUUUUUGGAAUACAAAUUCAAAAAAAAUCAGCCACAGAUCCCUGAGCCCAUCCAACAGGAGAGCUUCAAUUGAAAGAAGUAUUAGUUCGAUUAGACCAUGUAGUACCUAAAGGAGGAUGGUGGCCCCAUGGAACAACUCCAGCCUUUCCAUUGUGUCCGGGCGCAAUGCGAUAAUGGAGUUAUGGUCAUUGGUGGCUUCGCUGGCCAUAGACGGCUUAUUGACUUCUUCCACUUGAGGAUCACCGUGAACCAGUCCUUCUUCCCCAUCCUACAUAAGCAUGCCAACCACAAAUAAAUGCUCAAAAAGACCAUCUUAAAUGUCAUUGAACCGGAUUAUGGGAGGCAGAAUCUUAUGACUCGGUGGAUGCAGAUAUCGAGGCCUCAUUUGUAUGUUGUGCCUCCCACCAGAGGUGUCUUCUAAUUAGAGUGGUGCGAGAAGACAAUAUAAGCCACCGUGCAAGCGAAACAAUUAGGAGGCACUGCUUGUAAAGCGGAGAAUUUGGCACUGUCUGGUGGCAUUGCGGUAGCCGCAGGGUGGAAGAGAGAGAGGGAGGGAGGGAGGGAGGAUGAAUCGGAAAACCAGGAGCAGGGGUGAUCAACGAUGAAAACCAAGAUGAAAAAACAAUGUGCAAGAGAGGAAGAGGAAUAGGCUAGCUAUUUCUGUAGUGAAGUAAUAUGAGCAUAACUUAACCCAUAGGUGUGGAACUUGGAUUCGGUUGAAGUAUAUACUAUACUAAAGUAAGCUGACUAAUUGCAAUUUAAAUCUUUGGUGGCAAUGCUUAUGAGUUGUGAGGCCAUCUUGACUAUUCUGGAUCUUGCAUAUGAUUCUAAUUAAACAGUAUAUGUCAGAUGUUUUUAAAGAGGCACACAUUAUAUUUGAUUGUUGAUUUACACAUUCUAAUUAAACAUUAUAUGUCAGAUGUUUCUAAUGAGGCCCACGUUAGAUUUGUAUGUUGAUUUACAAAGGGAUUGAUAAGUUGAUUCUAUCCUUUUUCCUCUGCCAUUCUUCCUUUCAUAAAAUGUGUCCAUCGAGUAAUUAUCCACAAUAACAAACAUGACUAGACAAAAUAUCCACGACAAGUUGCAUAUCUUGUGCAACUGUUCACUGGUGAAAGGCUAUUGUGCCACUAUCCAUCAUUGCAAGGAAAAAACACAAAAGAUUUAUGUUCUAUCAAAUAUAUUAUUUUGUUUGGAUUUAGCCAGGUAAGAUCCUGGUUGCGUCGGCCAUUAGAGUACCUUGCGAUCGACUAGACAGUUUCAGCAUAUCUUCUUGCCUCCUUUUGCAUCACUAGAUUUCGAUGGGCUUGCGAACAGGAAGAUAAACACGGCAACAAAGGAGACGAGAGAUGCCAGUGAUCCAUAUUUCCAAAUAAUUCUCUGCAAGUGAAUUCCAAAGAAUGCAUUGAAUUUUGUGCUGGCGUAGAAUCCAGCAGCAAGGGAAACACCAUGCUGACGCUAGGAGCUACGUGCUGCUACCGCGAGCUCCCAUGGCAAGACCUGCCCAGGGAGGACCGGCAAGAGAAACGGCUGAAGACACACCAAGACCCGGCAACAUGUAGGUUCAUAUUUCACCCCCACCCUCAGAUAAAAAUGUGAAUCAUUUCAAACAUAUUAAAACUUGAGUGGAUUUUUUUAUUUCGGAAAAAUAUGCCCACAAGAGCUCAGGAGUCAACGUCAGUUCUAGGUAAUUAAACAAACAAGAAGAUUGACUUGUUGAGCAAUUUUACUACAUUUUCUUGCUUCCUUUUACGACACUAGAACUUGAUGGACUUCCGGUCAGCUAGAUAAACAUGCCAAUAAAGGACUUCUUGACAAGUCUGUGCAGAUUAAAGGUAUGUUAGUAGGUGGUGUAAUAACACAUGAUUUUAGCUAUCUAAGGAUACAAAUAUGCCACUAUUUAUUUUGUAAAUGCUGGAAAUCAUUGUCGGAAAUCUUAGUAACAACAGUUGUCAUGAACAACUUCGACUAAAUGCAUCAAAUGUUAGGAAUAAUACAUACUAACUUAGUUCAAUAAAUUAACCUAUUGAAGCAAGAAAAGAAACCUUGAAAUGUACUUAGAGUGAAUCAAUUAAGACAUGCAAAGCCAGUACUAAUCCAGUUUUAUUAAUAACUUCCACAAAAUUACAACACGUGACGUAAAAAGGGAAUAUGAUAGGUCAUGUAUUGAUAACGUGUACAACAUUACUACCCUUGACAUAAAAAGAGAAGUUGAUGAGUCAUGUCUCAAUAACGUGUACAACAUUACUAUCAGCUUGUUCAUCUUACCAUCAUACUAUACAACACUACGAGUUAGUUUAAAAAGGAAUAAGAGUUCAGAAUGAACAUGACAGUACUAGCCUAAUCUAUCUUAACAACAUGCACAAGGACACAAAGUUUGUCUGCCACAAGAUAUGAAGAUUUGGUUUAUGUCUAACAACUUGUAUAACAUGACAAACUUAGAUCCAAAGGGAACACAAUCCAUAUAAUUGUUUGACAUGUAAAGUGAAUAAGAUGAGUCAGUGCCAAUUAUCAAGUUUUCCUCACUCUUAGAUAAUAUGAGUAGCAAAAAGGCAACUUUGAUGAUCACUCCAAAAUUACGAUUGUAUGCCGUGCCACCAAACACAACACACCAAAAAAUUAGUUCGAUAAGCAUUGAAUCACUUUAAAAAAGGAAAGCAGUGAUGAAAAGAAACCUAGCCAUGGUGGCUAUAAAAAGGCCUGCAAUAUGUGAGCUCCAUACCAUCAUCCAUCCUUCACACAACUAGAGCACAAGCAUCAAAUCCAAGUAGGUAGUAGUUAACGCAAAUCCACCAUGAAGACCUUACUCAUCCUGACAAUCCUUGCGAUGGCAAUAACCAUCGCCACCGCCAAUAUGCAGGCCGACCCUAGCGGCCAAGUACAAUGGCCGCAACAACAACCAUUCCUGCAGCCUCACCAACCAUUCUCCCAGCAACCACAACAAAUAUUUCCCCAACCCCAACAAACAUUCCCCCAUCAACCACAACAACAAUUUCCCCAGCCUCAGCAACCACAACAACAAUUUCUCCAGCCCCGACAACCAUUCCCCCAACAACCACAACAACCAUAUCCCCAGCAACCACAACAACCGUUCCCCCAGACUCAACAACCCCAACAACCAUUUCCCCAGUCCAAGCAACCACAACAACCUUUUCCCCAGCCCCAACAACCGCAACAAUCAUUCCCCCAACAACAACCAUCGUUGAUUCAACAAUCUCUACAACAACAGUUGAACCCAUGCAAGAAUUUCCUCUUGCAGCAAUGCAAACCUGUGUCCUUGGUGUCAUCCCUCUGGUCAAUCAUCUUGCCACCAAGCGAUUGCCAGGUGAUGCGGCAACAAUGUUGUCAACAACUAGCACAAAUUCCUCAGCAACUCCAGUGUGCAGCCAUCCAUAGCGUCGUGCAUUCCAUCAUCAUGCAGCAAGAACAACAAGAACAACUACAGGGUGUGCAAAUCCUGGUGCCACUGUCUCAACAGCAACAGGUGGGUCAAGGUAUUCUCGUCCAGGGUCAAGGCAUCAUCCAACCUCAACAACCAGCUCAAUUGGAGGUGAUCAGGUCAUUGGUGUUGCAAACUCUUCCAACCAUGUGCAACGUGUAUGUCCCACCUUACUGCUCCACCAUCAGGGCACCAUUUGCUAGCAUAGUCGCCAGCAUUGGUGGCCAAUGAAAAAAAACAAGAGCUAUUCUAAAAGUUAGAUGGCCAUCGUUGCUUAGCUUAUGCACCAAUCGAUGUAACGAUGACAAAUAAAGUGGCGUGCACCAUCAUGUGUGAUCCUGACCAAGUGCUAGUUCAAGAUUGGAAAUAAAAGACAAACUCAGUCCUUGUUUGCCAGCAUUGCCUGUCAUUGUUCCAUUCCAUGUGUAUUUAGAUGUCUGUCCCUAAUCAUAAUUCUAGCCUUGCACAUCAUUAGCUAGUUGCUCGUGUGGUUGUUGACAUGUUAAUCUAGUUAAUAGGCUGAUUGAUCUAUUAGUUGUUGCUCGCAAGUUGAUCGAGCAGCUAUCAGUUGGCAAUUUCCUGAACAAUGCAUACAAUAAUAUUUCAACGUAUUUCAAUUUCUAGAAGUAAAGGGUCAUUUCAGCAGAAAAACAAGUGCG